AGGAAGCUUAGGAACUGGUGGAAAGGGUUUCUUGAAGGGGAAUGGUGGUUUUGGGAAAAAUGGGAAAGGUGGAAGUGGCUUCUGGUACACGGGAGGCUUGUAGAUUGGCACCGCCGGUGGGAGUGGCUUCUGGUACACCGGAGGCUUGUAGAUUGGCACCGGCGGUGGAAGUGGCUUCUGGUACACGGGAGGCUUGUAGAUUGGCACCGGCGGUGGGAGUGGCUUCUGGUACACGGGAGGCUUGUAGAUUGGCACCGGAGGCUUGUAGAUUGGCACCGGCGGUGGGAGUGGCUUCUGGUACACAGGAGGCUUGUAGAUUGGCACCGGCGGUGGGAGUGGCUUCUGGUACACAGGAGGCUUGUAGAUUGGCACUGGCGGUGGGAGUGGCUUCUGGUACACAGGAGGCUUGUAGAUUGGCACGGGCGGUGGACAUGGCUUUUUGACUACUGGAGGCUUGUAGAUUGGCACUGGCGGUGGAAGUGGCUUCUUGUACACCGGAGGCUUGUAGAUUGGCACGGGGGGUGGAAGAGGUUUUAUGAUUGGAGGAGGCUUGAUUAUGGGAACAGGCGGAGGAAGUGGUUUUUUGUAGAUUGGGAUUGGUGGUGGAAGUGGCUUCUUGUAAAUAGGGAUUGGUGGGAGUGGUUUCUUGUAGAUUGGGGGGAAAGGCAACUUAGGCAAAGGAGGGUGUGUAAACCAGGGAUGGCCCGUGGGCAAAGGUGGAUUCUUGAAGAAUGGCCACAAGAAAGCUGAAGCACACAGUGCUGAGGUGAACUUGACACUUUCAGCUGGACCAAAAGUCAGUUUUCCAUCAGUAUCUGGCUUGGCUACAAUUUUGUUGGCUUCAAGGCCAUUGUGCGCUGGGCAUGGGGUUGCUGAUGCACUAUGGAGUUGUGCAAAGCACUCCUCAUCUAGUUUCCCAUCUUUCAGAAUUUCUCUGGGAACGGAUACCCUGAACUUCCCUUCUGAAUCAAGCUCUCCAGAACCCCUUCUUGUCACCUCUCCAUUUUUGAGCUUGCAAUCAACAGUCACACGUAGCCCUGCAAAAGGCAAAAUCAAGAAUAUUCAAGGACUCUUUAUAAAGACGAUAGACUACACUGCAUGCAUUUUGGCCAUCAGUAGCAGAUACUUUUGGUUAUUUUUGUCAAUUAGCCUGAAUCCAUGCCAUGCCUCUCUCAACUGCAAAAUCUUUACUGCUGCGGCCCCAUUUAAGUAAAGUUAAAAUGAGCCAACAUCAUCAGAUCAAGGAUUAAUGCAUGGGACAAGCAUGAGAUGUAGACAGAGAUCUACCACACAAGUAAUUAAGUACAUGUACAGGUUCCAGUAAGUACAGCCGAAAGAAUGGCCUGCCAUUUUUAGUAAAUUUGGGAAUAUAUUGAAAGCGGUCAUGCUGUGCAAUUUGAGCUGUUUCACAUGAGCAAGCUAGGAUAAAACUAGUACGUUGUCAGAUACCCCUUACAAAAAGGUACCCAGGAUAGGACAAACCUGAGAAGGCCUGGCUAGUCUUGAUCUUAAAGUCCUUGCAAUCUGCGCAUUCUCCAGCCCCAACAACCUGGACCGUUUUGUCAUCAGCACGGCAAAAGCUGACAACAAAGAAGAUGCUAACCAAUAAGAACAGGAGAUGGGAAACACCCCUCAUUGAGUUUGCGGUUCCCUUCUCUCUUGUGAAACUAGUUUUGAGUGAUUUGAGUCAGAAAAGCGUUGUCAUAUAUAUAAUGAUGAUGAUCGCCAGGGGGAAGGGUCCGCCGACACCAAAACUUAAAGGGCAUCACAUGAGGUUAGGUCCCAGUGAGCUUGACUUAUGCCCCGGGAAAACAUUUCUCAAGCAUAAGUGAUCAAUGGCCAUUAUCUUCAUUCAAUGUCCUUUCAACUGCACAACCCGACUUUGUCCAUCUGUAAACCUACUUACCAGCGCCAUAAUUAAAUAUCACUCGCUAUUCUAAAAUCCCAUGUUGAAUUCGUGAAAGAUUUAUAUUGGGCUUUCUUUAGUUCCAAGAGUUAUUUUUGGCAGCAAAGCAUGGGCUCUAGCCAGUAAAGAAGUACCUGGACUUCUUGCUUAGAGAAUUACACACACACAAACAGAAAAACAAAAAGAGAAGGGCGCCAUGUGCUAGACAUUAAGUGACUAACUCCAAAAUCUCAAAAUCCAUGUGAAUAAACAAGCUUUUUACCCUAAUAAAUGAAUUUCCUCAACAGUCUCUCGGCCUUGCUGCAAUUCGAUUGGCCAGUAUUCAACCGUACAAGAAUUGCUUUCUUUCCAUUGCAUAAUGCACGAGAGACUGUUAAACAUGUCAGAUUAUGAGAAACUAUAUGUUGUUAUUGUUUCGCCAUGUCAGACUGUGGGAUACGGAAUUUUGAUUACAUACAGUAAUGGGUUAGAGCAAGGAGUAGUUAAGCUCUAGUUCGUACCCAAUAAUCGAGUUGCUACUGGAAAAAACUUGAAUGCAGCAGCUGGAUGGCAAUAAUGUUCACACUGCCCAUGGCUCUUGACUAGAAACUUGGCCUAAUUGAUCGGCCACUCUAACCAACCAAAGCAUGCUUCCCACCUAUGUUUCAAGGGCACAUGCACAGCCCCUUUCGGCCAGGAAGACAAGUAGGUGGCUGAAUUGUAAAGACUAGCUCAAAAAGACAGAUUUAAACAUGAAAAUGAUGUUCUAGCUAAUUAACAGGCGCUUUACUCGAUUCCUCCUGUGUAACAUUCCACGAAUUCAAAUGAGAGCCCUAAAGUUCCCUUCCGAUUCUUAGUAUUGAGAGCUGCAAUUAACCAUCCUAUAUAGUGUUCCGUAGGGAAGUUAAAAGCCUCAAAGGUCAUUCCUAAAUGGGAGUGAAAACAAGAAAUGGAAGUUCUUGCUAAAAAAGAAGAAGGAAGAAAGGUUGGGAUGCAGUGUUUGAUAAUGCCCGUCCGACACAAGAAAGAUAAUGUCCCCUGUAGAAAGAUAAUUACCAUAGAAGCCGCACACAAGGCUAUCAAAAAACUGAAUAAUGUAACGUGGUAAAGUAGCAUAUCAUGUACCAUGAAAUAGCUCUCCAUAGUUAAUUAAUCAAUCACUGCUGAUCAAUUCAGUCGUAGAAUUUGAGCGUAAACUAGGUUCAAAAGAUUGGUGAAAUGAGAUACUCCCUCCGUCCCACCUUCUUGAUAGUCCUGUUUUCCUUUUUCGUCUGUCCCAAAUUGUAGUCCACUUUCCAAUUGAAGAAUGUAGUUAUAUUUUAACUUUCAUAAAAUACCCUUAUUUAAUGUAAGUUGUUAUUACUAUAAACCUACCUACCCCAUUUAAUGAGAGUUAAUUCUCUUUUUACCAUCAAUUCAAGUUCCCAUAAAAUUGUACUCUAUUUAAUGUGAGAGUAUUUUAAAAAAAUAGCAAUCUAAAUUUAUUUUUCUAAUAAAAUUAACUACUUUUUCUUAAACUGUGUGAAAAAAGAGACCGAACUAUUAAGGUGGGACGGAGGGAGUACAUGUAAAGAACAUAAAACAAAAGAAAGAAAAACUGGUAAACGAAAAGGACUUGCAUGAAGUAGAGAAGAAAUCAGGUUAGAAUGGGUUUUGGUUGCUUUCUGGUACGCCAGUUUAAAUCACCUCAUCUAAGUUAAGCGACACUUAACCAGAAGAUUCGGUCCAUUUAAUGUAAAUGAAUCAACAAUCUGACUGUUUUGCUGACCAGAAGUGGGCCCAAUGAAGAAAAGAAAGCUCAAACCGAGCGAAUUAGUAGUACUUAAAAUAUAUAUAUAUAUUGGGAGUGCAGCUUAAGACGGUCAAUUUAUUAUUGCGUUUUCUGUUUCUUUAGUGUGUAUGAAAUGAACCCGCAUCUUGACUUGAUUUUGGUGUUCCUUUAACCAGCCCCUCAAUAGUGACAGAUAAUAGUCUCUGCGGCAUUAAUGUCCGGGGCAAAUAUCUGCGAUAUGUGCUUUGGAUUUGUUAAAGUCCUCAUAAUGCAGGAAGCUCUGUAGCCACUAAUGUAGUGAGUGCAUACUGCUAAUUUAUUCAUUCAUCUUCAUAUGCAUAUCAGUGGAAGCGGCAAGCCAAUCGUACGUAACCUGUAAUUGUAGAAUCAAAUAUUAACAACACUACAAGGGAUUAAUACAUACCAAUUAUAUACUUCAGCAAAGUUGCAAUUAAUAACUCACAAAUUGUGGUUAUUAAAAACUAAUACCAAUUAUGCACAAGUUUAAAGAAAAGACGAGGUACCCACACAGAGUGUGCCUUUUCCAACACUGAAAGUUGCAGUCUUAUUCUCUAUCGAAGUUUGUAAAUGACUUCGAAUUCAAUUUUAGGGUUAGUUGACAUCCAAGAAUCCUUCUUUCUUUUCAAGAGAAGAAGAAAAGACAACAGACGCUAUCGGUUACAACUGGAAAAAUCAUCAGCCGCUGUCAUUUUUACGACCUGCUUUACUGCAGUUGCCCUCUGGGACAGAAAUAUAAAUCCCUUGACAGUGGACAUUAUCACUUUCUCCAUGUCCUUUUCUCCAAGCGCAUCAGAAUCCAGUGCUGGAAUGUCGGUUUCAGAAUUUACAGUUUCCAGUGUUCACCCUAAAAUUUUGAGAUAAUUUAACGUAAGACAGUUUCUUCUAUUCUAUCGAGCAAAUCAGUCCCAACAGUGACACUUCUCAGAUUACUUGAGCUAAUACUCAGUUUUAUUAACAUAUGCCAUCAUGCUUAUUUUCUGUCGGGUACUUUCAAAAAUCACAUCCGUCCAAAACCAUCGCCCUCCGAUUCUUGUCAAUGCCAACAAACAACUCUUUAAUUACUAUAAUAAGUGGGCAGACAACACAGAUUUUUCAGCCCAGGAGCAACACUGUUCACAAUCUUCAAUAUCAUAGUCAUACCGCUGUCACGGAACCCACCCACAAAACACACAAAGGGAGCGGUCCUCCUCUUCUCAAAAAAUUAAAAAAAAGGAAAUAAAAUCAUGCAGCCAUUCGACCAUAGAUAUGCUCAAUUUGUGGACUCGUCUGGCCUGCUUGGGGCGUUUGAUCGGCCCAGCAGACAAGACGCCACCAAUAAGGACACAGUUGUAAUGGGAAAAUUCGCUCUGGCAGACUGGUCCCAACUCCCAACUUGUAGUACCAUCCAUGAAACAGCAAGAUGAACAUGAACAUACCUUUUUAAGGAAAAAUCCGUGUUUCACAAAAUUGUUUUUGUUUUUUUACCUGAUCAAUUCUCAACUAAUUUGGCAUUAAGAAAGGCUCAGCUUUCAAAAUCUCUUAAUUUAACAAAAUGAGUUUUCUUCCUCCUCCUACAACAGUGAGGCAAUAAGUCGUUCUCAAGUUUAAUUCCAAAAGAACAUUCCACCUUCUGGGGCUCCUUCACUAUCAAAGAUGCCUAAGCUGUGUUACAAGAACUAUGGCCUUGUCAAAACUCUCCUGAAGGGCAAGUGACCUCAGCAAGGUUUAUCUACUUCUUCUUCUUUAAUUUGCUGGAUUGAGACUGACUAUAAGCAGUUCCCUGUGAGAAAAAGCGUGGGCAAUUUAAUGAAGAUAUUUCAUAAAUUACUCCUCGAAAAGGUAUCUAGAAGGUAAAAAAAUAUUCCUCAGUUAAAAACUUUGGAUGGCCACAGUGCACAAACUACAAACCUCCAGCCACUCAUCCAUAGAGGCAUCAGUUGUACCAGUUCCAACCUCCACCUUUGGCGCCCUCUUGCUUUUCUGAUAAAGAGAAAUAAAUAGGGGAGUGAAAACAAGUAAAGGGAAAGGAGGGCAGGCAAAUGCAGAUAACACUUAACGACCUAUGAUCAAUUGAAAUUAACCCUUUCAGAAAAGUCUAACAGAUGAGCUAUUGUCUUAUUAACUUCUACUUUUCCUGUCAUAUGGAACAAUUGGAAGGGGAUAAAACAUUAAAUGCAAAGUAAUCACAACUCUUCUUAUGACAUUGUCAUAUGCUCUUCCCUCUCUUGGUUAGACAAUAAGAAAUUUGACUAUAGGUUUUCCUGACACAUUCUGUAGAUUGCAGCUAUGUGAUGCUAGUUUCACGUGCUAUACCAGACAAGAAGCGUGCUAUACCAGACAAGAAGCAGGUCAAUGUCUAUAGAAAUGUCAAUGAAUCAGACAAUGCAUUAGAUAUCCUUUUUUUUCUCUCGAAAACAAAACAAUGCUCUACUUCCUAGUAAUGGGAACAAAUAUUACUUUUAGAUCCCAAGAAAGAAGAGAAUACAGGAAAGUAUCAAUAAAUGAAGUUGACUAGAACCAUUCCUUCUCAAUCUAAAGAGUUACUAAUAUUAGGCAUCUGAUUAUUGAGAUGCAUUCAAUAACAAGAAGCCCCAAUCCAAGGCAGUAACUUAAAACAUUAAUCAUCUCCCCAAGAUAUCCAGUGCAAACACAGCCACUAACAGAUUUUAUAAGAAAUGCCAAGAUACUUUCUGUUCAGCUUCUAAGAAUUAUCUUACAUUUUAAAUCAUCCAGAUUACCACAACCUUUGGCUACUGUUGUAUCUGAAAGGAAAAAGGUCAACUCACCUUUGACCAAUGUUGUAUCUGAUUCCGUAUCCAAAAUACUGCAAAGCCAACAAAAGCAAUUGCAAGAGAAACUAAGAAAACAGAUUCCACGCUCAGAGGACCACCAGCCUCAGUUACUUCAAUAGUACCAUUGUAGAAGGUACUUUGAUAGGGAUGUUGAUCUAUUUCAUAGACAAUUGUGCCCACAAGAUCAAAUGCUCCAGCCUGCAAAAUAGAAAAGUAUAAUAAGUAAAGCAGCCUUUGCAAUGAAUUUUAUCGAUUUAAGUAGUAAAGUAAAUGGAAGAUGUUAUGAAAACAAAUCAAGAAAACUAUAUUAGCUGCAAGUAAUUAACCUAACCUGCAAAAAUUUGCUGACAGCGAAUAUGUAUGGGAAUGUGGCUUGAGCAGCAGGAGGGACAGAGGCAUUGGUAAAAGCCUAGAGAGACAACAAAAUUAUGUUGUUACAUCCUCAGUCAGAAAACUUGGUAACUAACAUGUGAAGUCCAAGAAACAGUUGAAAUUCUAAUUCCAAAAGAUUUAAGGACUUUGAAAGAUAAAGUAGCAUUUACUCAUCUAGAGCACUGAGAGCUCAUAAAUAUUAUAAACACAAAGUUCUGCAGUCAAACCUAAUUCAGAGUAAAAUCCUUAAUCAUUGCAACAGCAAUCACCUCAAUUUUCAAGGUUAUGAGGGAAACAAACACAUUAAAAGUAUUGUUAUGGCAGGUAUUUUCAAAUUCAAUGCACACCAAGCUGUGCUUCAUCUCACAUCAAUAGCCGGCAAAUGAAUUGUUAAAAAGUUAAAAAAGCAACUACUACGCCUCUUGAAAAAUUACAAAACUUGGCCCCCUAAUAAUGAGAUCCACCCUUCCAUGAUUGCAGACUCCAAGAAAAUAAUUAUAUUGAUACAAGACUUUAAGGCAUGACAAGGCACAAGAAACCAUAAAUUAUCAAAAAACACCAUAUAUGAUAUUCAUAUCACUACAAGAAAGCAGGAUUCAUGAUUGAGCCCUCUAGAUUGCACACAAAACUUGUGACAGAAUUUACUUGAAUAUAACACAAAUUGCAAAUAUUUUGAGAUAAUGAACUAGAUUGCACACAAAGCUUGUGACAAGAUUACUUUAAGAUUCCACAAACUGUGAAGAAACAACAGUACCAUUUGUUCUCCCCUGCAGUGACUCCUAAAAUCAUCUCUAAGACAGAAUCACAACGUGAUAGCAAUUUCCAUAGAAACAACGGGUAACAUUGUUAUGUUAACUCAUACAACUCUGAGCUCCGUGCUUUAAUCCAUAACAUAGCCAACACAUGUCUCUAUAUGUGCAAAACAACCUAACCCAGGUCACAGUGUAAAAAAAUUUUGCCUCCUACAAAUGUUAUAGUCCCAACACAAAAAGCUGGAUAAGCUCGAUAAUUGUUUUCCAGUCCUCUUUGUAUCACAAAGCACAACUAGAUUUUCAUCAAGUAGUCUAGUCAAUUUGAACAAACCACACAGUAAGAAUUCAAACCGCAGAGCUUUACAAAGUGACAGCAAACUCAGUGUGGUAGAAGGCUGUUAAUUUUAUUUAUCAAUACAGAUAGCAAUUAUCCAGUCAGGGAAUCAACUGAAUCAAGCAGCAAGCAUACACCACUUACCUGACUAGAGAUAUUCUGAAUCAGAUACUUAUGAUCAUAUGGAAGAUGAACACUAGCAUGGAUUGCAAUGAUAUUCAGACUUGAUUCUCCUGUUUCAAUCAUUAUUAUCAGAGAAAGACCCACAGAAUAACAACAGAUACAUAUAACUAAAGAACUGUACUACAAGAGACAUAUAAGAACUUAGAUGAUCCAAAAAAAACCAUUUCAAUCAAAAGAGGUUGCAAAACUGAAACACAAUAACAAAAUCAUCCACCAAGCUUGAUACUUUUAAAAGAAACGGUGUACUACCAAAUAGCAAGCUUACCAUCAUUCUUAACACCAACUAAAAGUUCACCUUCUUCACCAGCAGUAACCACUGAAAAGGGGCAAACAGCAUAUCAAAGUUCCAUUUUGGAGGAAAGAGAAUGCACAUUGUAAUACAACAAAGAGGUGAGAUUACAUGCACUCAUAAUUACAAAUCAAAAAGGAGUUGUUACUUACAUUUAGAAGGAUUUUUCGGGAAAACACAGAUAGUCUCCACCCCAGGAGCUGGACCAAAACUCCCACCACCAAUAUCUUGGACAUCAUCACCGACGAUACCAAGAUCACUCACUUCCUCAGAACCUUCAACUAUUUCAGCAUCUGCAUCCGGUUCACCCCUAACAACUAUCAAGUGAAAAAACAGCUAAUGAACCUCAGUCGCAACUUGUUACAGAUACAAAUUCAAUGAAAACUCACUUAAAUUGUAUGCAUGGUAAUUCCCUAUAUCAUUGCUAGCAAAAUAAGUACAGAGAAUCCAUAGCAAUAAGCUUGGCAGAGCUAAGCAGAAGCAGAAUCAAAUAAAUCAAUUUUCCCGGAAAUUCUCUCCAGGGACCAGGCAGAGUUAUUAACGAAACAGUCGAGCAGCAUCCUCAUCAGUAAUAGAAAAGUUUCUGCCUAUUUGAAAUUGACAAUUGCCCCUUUCAACUGUACACCACAGUAAAGGAGCAACAGAUUUCGUAUCAAUUAAACGGAAUAACUACAACGAUCGCCACUUGAAUGAAAUAUAGCCUCUGCCUAAAAGACUACAUAGCAUAUUGUUUAAAAAGAGAGAAGCAAUUCAUUCAGGCAGCGUUUAACCUCAAAUCAACACAGGCGUUGACCGAGCAACAUAUGAAAGAGACCUAAAUCACAUGCAUGACAAGGGAAACUUAUGCAGUAGUAACUAUCAUUCUAUACAUGAACGAAUUGCGUGGUAGAAUUUGAAUCCGAAUUCGGAUCGAAUGUGAGUUGGACGGAUGAAAAGCCCAGAUAAUGUAUAGCAAUUAAAAAAUCCAAGCAUCGAACUCAUUAUUCCGCAUGCAGAGGUAUCGAUACAAGUCAAAUUAAGCAUUAGAAAAUUGAACUUUCCGAGCUACACUUGUCAAGUACAAAUCAUUCGUACAUAUAAUCGAAAAUGAAUCCAGAUCUACGAUCGUAAGCAAACCUUGGAGGAAAGAGGAGGAAAAUACGAGCAGCGCGAGGACGAAGAAAACCCUAAUCGACAUUCUCGCCUCGGUAAAUGAAGAGGGGAGAGAGAGAGAGAGAGCACAAAGGGUACAGAUAGACUUCCAGAAAAAUGCACGAAGGGGGGGAAUGACUGGGUUUCGGUUCGGGUUGGGGUCUGGGCUCUGUUUUUGGGUGAAAACUGGAGCGGAGAUGAGGAAUUGGGGAGUUUUGGGAAACUGGGAGCUCUCUCUAACUCGAGGCCGGAGACAGAAAACCAACAACCAAAAGACGUCAAUGCUGAGGCAACUUUGCCCCCUUUCCCUUGCACCUUUUUUAUGCCCUCUUUUUUUUUUUCUCUUUUUUCUUUUUUCUCUCUCUAAUCGCUUAUUAGUUUUUUUUAUCACUCUCCAUUUAAUGAUUGAUGUUAUUGCAGGAGUUUUAGUUAUUGUGUUUGGAUCCCUAGAGAGUUUGGGAGAGUGGAGUUGAAGUAGGCUUGGAAUUUGGGAACCAGGCUUUGUCUAAUAUUAUAUAUAUAUAUAAUGUUUAGAUUCAGGAAUUAGAGUUGCUAUUCUCAAAUUCUAUUCUAUUUAAUUUUGUUUUUAAAUUAGCACCAUUAUUCUUGAUAAUUUUUAUAAUUACUAUUAAGUUGCUAAUUUAUUUGGAUUGCUUCUUUCUCCUUUUUUACCAUCUUAUUUUAGAAAAAAAAAUUAUCAAUUCCAUGAGAGGAUUAUUAGCACAUUUUUAGUCCUUACUUGUGGGAUUGAAGUUCAACACGUGGGUUUGUUUGGAUAGAGGAUUAUUUGUCAAAAUUUAUUUGCUUACAUCAUCGUUACAAUUUCCAACACAUCUUUUUAUCUUUUUAAUUAUUUUUUUAUUUCACAUACAUCACAUCAUAAAAAUUAAUAUAGUAAAAAUAUCUCAAAUAAUUUUAUCUCCAGCUUCGAAACAAAAACGUGGUGUGUUUGUGAUAUUUCAUUGCCAGCAAACCUUUUGAUAUCAUUUCAAGCUGGGUCUUGUAUUUCUUUAGCUAUCCACCUAUGAAAUUCAUUAUAUACAAAAAAAAAAAAAAGGAAGGAAAAUAACAUUAUAUUAUUAUAUACUAGCGGUAGUCCACUAGAUUGGGAGAUGAGAUUUGAGUAGAGAAAAAAAUAAAAAGGAAGAGAAAGUAAUAAGUCUUCCCAAUUGAUUUUGGAGGAUGCGCCGGGGGUAAAAAAAUUUCCAUCCAAAAUUGAACAGAAAAGGAAGGAAAUUUAUAGUAAAAAAGUUUUCCAUCCAAAAUUGAACAUAAAAAAGUUUUUUUUUUUUUUAAAACUAUCCAAUCUAUCCUUAAAAAAGCUAUUGAAUAAAAAUUUAUUAACUAAUAUAUUCAAGAUUAUUUCAUUUAUUUAUUUCAUAAACUCUCAAACGUUAAAACCCCUUUUCUUAUCCAUCACUUUCUCUCAUAGGCUUUCUUUUAUUUCCUUUUCUAUCCUCAACUCCCAAACUAGCUGUUGGGCUCUUAGGCCUUAGCUAGCGGAGGAGGAGAAGCAAAGAAGUCUUCGUCUCCAUUGCAAUUUGCGAGGUCAGGGCCUAGUUACAGGGUAAAAAAAUGGAUCAAUUUAAUCAUCAGGAAACUGUUUAUCAUCAUCAACAAGUUCAGCCCCCAAAUCCCCCGCUUCCCGAGUUUGGACAGCCUCCGCCUGAUAUGCACUUGUCUUCUAAUCGCCCCAAUCUUGACUCCAGGUUUUGCCCCCGUCCCUUUCUCCUGCAAUUCCAGAUUCUCAACUUUUGCAUGCAAGUUGUAUUUAUGAGAUUGGGUUUUGCUUCCCUGGUGGUUUUUUGCUUUCCAGGUUUAGCUGGGAUUGUUUGUCCUGAUUUAUUUGAUCCUGACGCCUUAACUUGUGAACUGUGUGCUAGGGUUUAAGUUAAAAUGGGGGGUGUUAAUUGGUUAGGAAAAGCAUGUGGAACAAGUUCAAAAUUUUGAUGCUAUAUGAUGCUGCCCUAUUAAAGUGGGCAAAUGGGUGUAUCUUGGGUAAAUUUAUUCUGAGAGGUUAUGUUACAAGCUACCCAUAAAUUUAACUAGUUUUUAGAAAGAGAAAUCAUUAGCUGGAAUUAUCAGGGAGUGUAUGAUUGUGGUUGCUUUUCAAGGAAAAGAGGGUACAAGUUUUUAGGUUUAAAAUUGUGUAGAAACCUUUACUGUGAAUGAGGAUUUCUGUUAUUGAGUAUACAAAGCUUCUCUGACUGGUAAAUGCAGUGUAAUUUGUAGGAUGGAAAUGCUUAAUAUUGGAAAGUGAUCCAGUGUGUAUAUUUGUUAUCUGAAUGUAAAGAAAGCAGAUGAUUGAAAAUCUGAUGAGUUAAAUGAAGUUCUGGUUAAGUUUUACUGCAUUGCUUACUAGCGUGUGGAAGUUGAAGUGGUAGAUGCAACAAGAUAAUUGCUUUUGACUUUCGUUGAAGAAUUAUCUGAAAAGGAAUACACAAAAUCGUGUCAGGCAUUUACUGAGGUUAAAGGAAGCGAAUGCUGAAAACUGUUGAAACUCAAUUAGCUGUUGUCAAGUAAUAACACUCACGUCUACCCCAUUGACAACCAAAAAUGAGAAACACUAAAAUUACAUGUUUAUCAUAUAAAUUUGUGCAUCCUUGGCUGAUAUAGUAUUUGACAUUCAAUACCUCAACAGCUUAUGUUCGAGUUGUGGGAAAACCUUAUUACCACCCUUGAGACACUUCAAAUAAGUGAAUAACCUCUUAUUUGCACACGACUGGUAGUCCACGUUAGAAAUAAGGAUUAAGCUUAAAACAGCAGGAUUAUUUGUGUGGUGAUGAUUGCUUGUCCUAUGGAGCUCACAAACUAUAUGGAAAUUGUAGCUGAGGUCAAAGGAUCUACUCCUUUCCAUUUUCCCUUUGAUAAAUCCUGAGCAUUACUUUUGCAGACAACUUCACCACUUCUGGACUCAUAAACAAGGAAGGUUCUUGUAAUACUAGAAAUAUGAAGCUUCUCUAAUUUAUGGUGUCAGCGUGCCUGUAUAGCACUUUUUUGUGUGGCGUAGCCAAAUGUCGGAGCAAAAAAAAAAUUACAAAUAGGGCCACACAUCAAUUUUCUUGUCUUAUAGAGGCACAAUCAUUUUCCUUCUCUUGUCAUGCUUGCACAAGUAAUAAUCUGUUUCUUGGGUAUAGUAUUUUCUUACAUGGCAAUAAAUAUGCUGCUUUACAAUGGUCAACAUAUUUUUCCGCCAUCAUCCUCUUGUAUUAGGUGCAGUAGAAUUCAUGAUUUCAUUGAAAUUUUGCUGAUUUAUUCUGUAAAUGCCAUGGAUCAAUGUAGCUUAGUUUGAGAAUAGAGCACUUUUUCUUUGAGUCUCGAGUGUGUUGUUGAGGAUGGAUGGUGAUUGUUAAAUACAAGUCAAUUUAUCAGUCUUUCAAAAUCGAAUCUCUGCCAGACUUACAUAGAGAGAGAGAUUUAUUUCCUGCCUUGUGAAACAUAGGUCUUUUGUGUAUUUUAGUUCUCUGCUAAAUGUACUGUGUUUACCCAUUCAUAAGAUGAAUAUCUAGCAUCCAGUUGGCAUAGUAUCGAUUCGCAAAAAUGGUAUAACAGGUCAUAUAGCUUGGGUCUUUGAUAGAUGAAACUUGAUAACCCUUUAUACACAAGAGUAUAUAUCUCUGCUGGAUAAAAUUGUUUUUGAAACAUUAAAUUUUUCAUAUAUAUUUUACUGGCCCUUCUCUCUCACCUCCCCCCUCUCUCUCUCUAUCUCUCUGUCUUUUUAUGUCCUUAUUCUCCUUAUUGCCUGGGUCGUCACUUGAAGGCCAGAAGCAGUGCCAAAGGACUCCAUUGCCACAAGGAAAGUUCAAAAAGCUGACCGUGAGAAGCUACGGAGGGAUCGCUUAAAUGAGCAGUUUGCUGAGUUGGGAAAUACCCUUGGUAAGCCCAAAAGUUUUGAAUUAGCUUGGUAACGUGGCAACUAAUGCAUUCUGCUUUCUAUGAAAUCCGUUGAACAUCUUAUCCUGGAACUCAUUAUAAUGAAAAUAGUAUCCCAGAAAUGUAUAUUGUGAGUGGGUUCAUAUCUCUUCUUCUGUACCUUGCUUUACUCGCAGAAUCUUAUGCAAUUUUCUCAUUACUUGAAUUUCUUUUUCUUUGACUUAUAAAGAGUUUGCCCCAUUUGUAAGGAAUUGUUUAACCAAAUCCUUCUGAAGAUUCACCACUUUAGUGGAUUUUUUCUCUGGUCAAAUCUCAUUCGUGACAUGGUCUAAAAUUAUCACAUCUGGAGGCACAUUGCCACCGGAUAUUCUCAUAGCAAUCCCCAGUGGACUUCUUUUUUUUUUUUUAAAUUUAGUAUGCUAGUUACUGUUAAACAUUAAGCAUUAAAUGACUGCUUGACUUCAUAGCAGAAGUGGGGACCAGUUGUGGGACAUUCAUGUCAUGGAUCUUUUAACGCUUGUUCCCUCUCCUCAUUACCUUAAUACUGGAAAACGAUUUGCACUCUACUAUAGUUGAUGUCUCAUGUGCUUUCUGUUUAGUUUUGUAGAGCAACUAGACAACUGUAUGACGAUGUUUAAUCCUGCACCCCUAUAAACCCUCCUUGAAUAGACAAAAUCGUAAUUUCUGGUAUUACUUGAAACAACCAAGAGAUUUUAUAUAUUCAAUUUUCAGCCGGUAUGAUCAUGAAAGUAGCUUGUUGUUAUGUAGUGUUGUCACUGGUGUUUCCCAAACAUCUGUAACUUGGGCUGAUUAUGAAGUUUGAUUUCAACCGCAAAACUUUGUCAAGAAACUUAUUAGUUCUGUACAUAUGGUUGAACCUAUAUCCCUUUUUUGUUUGGUUCAAGUAACUUAUUUACCUGUAGUAAGUUUCAUGUGAUUUUUUUCUCAUUAGAUGUGUUUAACGAGUUUGCAGAUCCUGAUAGGCCAAAAAAUGACAAAGCAUCUAUCCUCACUGAUGCUAUCCAAAUGGUGAAGGAAUUGACUGCUCAGAUUGACAAAUUAAAAGCUGAACAUGCUGCACUUAACGAAGAAUCUCGUGAGGUGAUUGUUCUAGCUACUCAUCCCCUUUUUUCCCCUUUCUUUUCUUCUCCUCACGGCCCGGUGAGGACUGUUUUACUGAAUACUUCCAUUUCCAAGCAGUUGACUCAGGAGAAAAAUGAUCUUCGAGAAGAGAAGGCAUCUCUUAAGUCAGAUAUUGAGAGCCUUAAUGCACAACAUCAGCAGAGAGUGAGAGCUAUGUAUCCGUGGGCAGGCAUGGAUCAUUCUGUUGUUAUGCACCCAGCUUCUUAUCCUUUUCCAUUGCCCAUGCCGAUACCUGCUGGUCCAAUUCCCAUGCAUCCAUCUUUGCAGCCAUUCCCACUAUAUGGGAAUCAGAAUGCUGCGGUUGUUCCAAGUCCUGUGUCAACUUUUGUUCCAUAUAUGGCUCCUAAUAGCAUUAUUGAACAGCAAUCAACACAACAUGUUUCUCAAGUAACACAGCCUGGUAGCAGAUCCCAUACUUCAAGCAGGCAAGAUUCUAGACCCAAAGCAUGCAAUCAGAAGGAUAGCAGAAGUGAAAAAAGCGAGACUUCAGAUGAUGUUGCAACUGACCUUGAGCUCAAGACCCCUGGGUCUACAGUAGAACAGGUUAAAAUACAGGGUUUAUUCUACUCUGUCAAGAAGGUCUUUUAGGUAAAAUAAUGAAGAGAAUUUGACAUGGCUGAACAACCUUGUGCAGGAUGUUUCACCUGGACAAAGAAAAGCCAAAAGAUCAUCUAGGAAGGAGAGUAACAUUACGGAAGGAAGUUCUUCAAGCAGGUGUUCAUCAUCUCACAGUGUACAGGCUGCUUCGUCAAGUAGUGUAGUUGGUGGCACAAAAACAGAUGAGUGAAGGAGGAAACCUGAACCUGGUUAUUUCAAAUUCAUUCUCCUCUCUUAAUCACUCUGAGUUAACCUUUGUCAACUGCUGGUGGCAUUCUUCUACUCUGGUGUGCAGCAGCUGCGGCGGACUUCAGCUGGAUACCAGAGGACGAGUCCAAGUGUAAAUAUGGUGUAGUUCCUCUCCAUAAGUAGGUUAGUGCUUCCACAGGACGUGGAUUAUAAUGGAGCCAGCAUCUGGAAAAGUAAUUUCAGAGGUGAUCUAUGUAAGCUUUGCUUUAUAUUUUUUGACCUGUUAUCACGCAUUCCUUCUUUCUUGUUGUACAGCUUUGUGUAAAUUUUAUGUUUUAAGGAUUAGAUAAAGAUUUUACUGACUUCAAGGCUGAUCAAGUUUCGGUGAAUGGACUUGUUGAUGAAUGAAUGGGGGCACCACACUGAAGUUAGCCGAGUAGAAGUCAGGAGAAUACAAAUGCAGUGAAGUUAGCCGAGUAGGAAGUCAGUCAGUGAUGAAAGUUAUGCGACUCUUCACUGCUCCUAUGUGAAUGUGGCACGACCAAAUUUUCACUUCAGAGUCGUUACCAUUGGCCAUGCCCACUACAUUUCUAGCGCUCCAGUUCUUUUUCUGCUUUUGAAGGGAGAAUGGAGUGCUAUUUGACCCCUUUUCGUCUUUUUUUUAAGGAGUGCUGGCAAAGAACGUGCUGCAGCGUAAUGGUCAUUUGGAUUUGUUACGGUACAACUGACACCAUAGGAUGUGCCGACGUCAUAGUGAGUGGUAUUUGCUAUUCGGUGAGCCAUUCUGAUGGGGGAAAAAUAUAAAUAAAUAUGGUGUAGUUUUCAUUGUUGGUUGGUGUGGGUGAGAAAGUAAGGCAGGACAUAAAUAGGAGAUACAAACGUAGCCGCGCGUGCAAUUCCUUCCUUUCCUUUUUUUUUUUUUCCAUCUUUUAAUGGAGGAGAUAUAGAUACAAAAAAUGGCUGCUACGGACAAAUUUUCAUCUUUCAACGGACGGGUAUGUUUGGACGAGAAAUUAUUUGAAAUGAUUAUUAUAGUAAUUUUUUGUAAUGUGAUGUAUGUAAAAUAAAAAUUUUAUUAAAAAUAUAAAAAAUUGAUUAAAAAUCAUAAUUGUGAUGUAAGUAAAAUAAUAUUUAGAACAAAUGUUGCUAUCCAAGCUUGCUCAAUUAAAUAUUUUGUUUGUAUAAAAAACACAAUUUCUAAUUAAUUUUUUAACUUUCUGUUAUCAUUUGAAAAAAAAAAUUAUCUUUGCAUCUUUUUAAUCAGUUUAUUUGCAUACAUCCCAUUCCAAAAAAAAUGAUAUAAUAAUUAUUUGAAAUAAUUUUCUAUCCAAACAUAGAUAUUAACCAUAGGUUACCAUUAAAGAAACCAUUUGGAAUUCAUAGAAUUUAAGUCAUAAAUUGCAAAAUUUAUAUUAAAAAAUACAUAUGAAUUGCAAAUGAAUUACUCCCUCCGUCCUACUUUUAUAGUCUUGUUUUCCUUUUUCAUCCGUCCCAAAUUGUAGUCCACUUCCCCAUUAAGGAAUGUAGUAAUCUUUCAAAUUGUCUAAAAUACCCUUAUUAAAUAUCUUGUUAUUAAUACAUUGUUAUUAAAUACUAACUCACUACAUUGAAUACAUUGAGGUUUUCCAAUGCACUCUUCGUGAUUAGCAUAAGGGUAUUUUAGGAAAUUAUUAAUCUAAAUUUAUGUUUCCAACCAAAUUAAUUACAUUUUCUUAAUCUGUGUGAAAAAAAAACCAAGACUAAUAAAACGGGACGGAGGGAGUAUAAGCAAUGGUAAUUGGACUUAAAUCCACUGACUGUAAAUUUCAAGGCUUGAAAAAAAAAAGGAAUUUUUUGAAAAAGCCCAAGGCAUUAUCUUGACUCUUGAGGUUAGGUGGACCAUUGAUUGUGUAAUGCACGCGGCGACAGCAAGCGUGGGAUGAGAGAGAAGCAGCCAACAACUCCGUACCAGUAAAAUACAUCGCCACAUGUCGAGGGACUGACUGAGAGGAGGCUUUCUCCCAAUCUUAAAAAAUUAUCUGCUCUGUUCUCUCUGCUCACUUCUGCUUGACGACGAGUAAAACUUUUAGUUGGCCAAGGCGUAGUAACAGAGAGUAACAACAAUAAUGGCUGUGGCUUCCACAUCUCUGGCUUGCCCCCAAUUCUCCGGCCUCCGCCGUUCUUCUUGUCCCAAGCUCGAUUCGCCACCUCUUUCCAUUUCCACUGCUCAAUCUUUCUUCCAAAAUUUGGACUCUCAUCUCCGCCUUUCUUCUUCUUCCCCCCGCAAUAAAGCUUGCCGGCCUGUCGUUGCAAUGGCCGGCUCCGGAAAGGUUAUUUCUUUUUCAUCCUUUUUAUUCUAGUCUUUUAUUAUUAUUGUUAUUAUUUUUUUUUGUAAACUUGACUUCUGUGACUGACUGUUGUUACUGUUGCCAGCCUAUAAAUAUUGGGUUCCAUGAGAUGACAGAUUUAUUCCUUUGAAAUUCAUUGGGGUAGUUCUGGACUCUUAAUUAUAGUUUAAGGAUUUAUGCUAAUUUAUUAUGAAAAUGUAAUGAGGCAUUGGAUUUAAUGACUCUAGUCAUUGGGUGGUUGAACAGUGAUGAAGUAAACUGGACUUCAAUUUGAUACCUUUAUUUCUUGUCCCCUCCCUCAAAACCAAACUAAAAAAAAAAAGAGGAAAAAGAAAAGGCUCCGGAUGGUAAGAAUUAGACCUUGUACUACUUUAUUCGUAAGUCUUCAAUGAAAUGCGAAUCUCUAAAAGCUCAAAUUGUUCGACAAGAUCAUGAUGCUUACCGCACAGUGAUACAUUAUGACAUUUCUUUCAUAAGUUUAUUGGCAUACUGAGAAAUGAGAAUGGUGUCAUUGGUUACUCCACUUUCUUCUUUUAGCCAAGCCGAAGCAAUCCACGCCUCUACGCCAUCUCUCUCUCUCCCACCUUUUUGCUAGAGUAUGUUAGUCAUGAUGAUUCAGUUUGGUUUUGGAUGAUGCUUCUUGGCUGUUCUUGAAUGUCAUUGUGCUCUGAAUCUGGGAGAUUUUCUUUUUUGUUUUUCCGGUCCUGGUUAAUUCUGAUGGUUCAUUUUCCGAAUAUUAUGCUUUUCCUUAAUGUACUUCAGUUUGUAAAACUUAUUUCAUUAUUUCACUCUUUCUGGUUCUACUUGAUCACUUGCUUUCUGAGAAACUAUUCAUCUUCUGAUGAUCAGUGUGACAUGAGAAUAUAUGAGCUUUAAAGAGUGUAUUAACCAGAGUCUUUUGGUUCUUCUUGCAGUUCUUUGUUGGUGGAAACUGGAAGUGUGUAAGUGUCCUUUUCUUUUUCUUCUUUGAGUUCUUAUUUUCAUAAGAUCAUUCAUCAUACAGGUACUUAUACUUGAACUGUGUAUUUAUUUCCUCUUUGCUCAGUUGACUCUUUAAAUGUCCAGUGUUCAUAAUUAAGAACUUUAACAAUUUUAGCAAAGUAGGUCCGGCUCCUGACCAAAAGGUGAUGGGGGUUCUUGGACUUCUAAAGGUGCCAAUAAAAUAAUAAUUAUACCACUAGAAGGCAACACUUGUAAAUUAUAAAUUACAGGGACUGAGAAUCCAAGGUACUAAAUGGACAGUAAUGACUAUUUGAUGUAACAAGAAAAAACUAAUAAGUCACGGUUAUUAAUUUCAGUAGUUUAGCUUAUCUUUCACUGCACUUGCUUAUGUCUUGCCUGUUAUCUUUCUCAGCAAAAUAGCUGUAUUUAAUGCUUGAUUAACCAUCCAAAAAUAGUCCCAGGAUACUGAUAUUCGUAAGUUUAUGCUCAUUGCUAACUAGCCUGUGGUAUUCAUGCUUUUAUUGUUAGUUUUUUCACUCACAAGGUGGGGAUGGGGGCAAGCUUGUUCUUAUGCUUUUUCGCAGCGUGAAAUGCUCACUGCUGGUGUAGUUUGAUAUAUAUGAUCUAGAAUAUGGGUUUUGUGCUCUAUGAAAAUGUGAUUUCUUUUGUCUAAUUAAGUAAGUAGCAUAUUUUUGGCACAUAAUGACAUUAUAAGACAACAUAUUUGCUGAAUAUGUUGAUCUCCUUUUACCCCUCUUUCUCCAUUUCUGAUAGUUCUGGAUAACUUUGACUAGAUAGAGCACACUAUUUAGCAAAGGAUUGAGUUUUUUCAUGCUUUAGCUUUGUUCUUUAUUGACUUCUUAUUGCAUGUUUUGCUCAGAAUGGAACAAAGGAGUCCAUCGGCAAGCUUAUCUCUGAUUUAAAUAGUGCAAUGCUGGAGUCUGAUGUUGGUGAGUUGUCCACAAUAUGCUUUCAAUAUAGCAAUAGCAAGUCACUUUGUCCCGAGUGCAGGAGAGUGCCUCAAUGUGCCCCAUACCGAUGUGAAUUGAAUGAAUGGACACCACACAAGUUCGUGCCUUUCCCUUAUCACACAGCGAUAGUCAUUCUUCUUCCUUCGGGCUCCCUUGGAUUGGUCUUUUUUUAGCGAAUAGGGAACCCCUUGGUGGGAGAUUACUGUUCUUUGUCAAAUAACCCCAAAGUAGUCUUUUAUACUAGUUAUGUCAUUGAGGUUGGAAUGAAAUUGUUGUAAUUGGUAAAAGUUUUUAGUUGUGACAUGUCUACAGAUUUCUAGCAAGCAUCUUCUAGGGAUAAUCCAGUCUCAGUUACAUUUUCUUCCCCGAGUAAGAUGUACCUUAGCUUAGUGGUUAGCCGUAUAUGUUGAUGCUAUGACUAGCAAACCUUGAAUAUAAUACUAUUUCCAUCUAUAAGUCUGUUUGAAAGCUUGUAGAAUUUAGAGCAGUGCCUUGCAUUAUUUUUACGCCUGGGUGGCUACGAUUUGGAGGCUAUACUUUUCUGUUUAAUUGCCAAUUGUGCAUCUUAUCUUGCCACAUUUGAGGCGCUAAACUACUUUGUCUUAGUUAUUUGCUAAUCUAAAUCGUAUUCAGCAGCUCUUCAGCUUUGAAUGCCACAUUACUAGAUUUAUUUUGGCUCUUUGAAAUCCAGAUGUUGUUGUGGCACCUCCAUUUAUAUACAUUGAUCAAGUAAAGAGCUCAUUAACCGAUCGCAUCGAAGUUUCUGCUCAAAAUUGUUGGAUAGGGAAAGGUGGAGCUUUUACUGGGGAAAUCAGGUGAGGUUAUAUGCGUAUUGUACUAUUUUUUCAUUAAACUUGUGGUAAAUCUGGUGAGAUUAGUUUAGUGGGACCAAAAUAUCAGUUGCCUGCAUUCUUGUGUUUCAGAAGUUGGAGAAUGAGUAUUAGGGAGAAGUGAGGCGAUUUGGAUAGGUGGGCAUGUUGUAGCUCACUUGUCUCUGAUUUUGUUACCUUGACUCCCAAUUAUACCAGCUUGCCACUUCACUGGUGAUUACGUAGGUCUUAUGCUUAGAGGUGAUUAGUUGGUUUGACUUUGACAUUACAAGGUUUGCAUGGCAAUGGGGAUUCGAAUCUGAUAAGUUCAAAUGCAUACAAGGGUGUUCAAUUUGGCAAAAUUUGUGAGUUUUAGAUGUUGUGAUGAAGUUGGGACUUGCUUAGUGGUUAGUAACUUUUGCUAGAUUGCAGAAUAUAGAAGAGAGAUACACGAUUAUGCAAGUAUAUGGAAGCAAGAAAAAUCAGGGAUAGCUCCAUCCCAUUCUAAAUAUGGCAGGUGUCUGUGAUUGUCCCCAUUUGCCAUUUAACCUCCACUGGUUUGAAAUGCAUUAGAGAGAGAGGGAGGGAUGGAAAGGGUGAGAGAGAGAGAGAGAGAGAACCUUACAGCAUUUUUUCAUUCUAGCUCAAAAUUCUUUCUUGCAGUGAAUGGAUUAUGCAGAAGUUUUAUCUUGAGUUAACUGUAUAUUAAUAGAUCUUUACAAGCUUUUAGGCCAACAUUCUUUAGACAGAGUUUGCUCUUUCAAUAGGACUACUUCCUUGGGUUUUCAAUUGCUGACUGGCUUAAUAGUCUGAGUUCAGCUUAUUGAUCAUUUUAAUUGUUGAUUGGUUUGUGGCUAUUUCAAUGCCUUAACAAAUGACUGAAAUAAUCUUAAUUUUCAUUUUUGUUUCAUAGUGGGGAACAAUUGAAAGAUAUUGGAUGCAAAUGGGUCAUUCUUGGGCAUUCUGAGCGAAGGCAUAUAAUUGGAGAAGAUGAUGAAGUAAGAGUCUUCCAGAUUUUACUACUUUUUAACCUGUUUUCUUCUCGCUAGUCGAUUUGCAGUUUGUGCUUUGAAAAUCUUUCUAAUUUACCAGUAAAUAAGUAGAGAAUUAUAAUAAAAAUGAAACAAGGAAUUCUUAAAACUGACGAACCCCUUAUCAUGCAGUUUAUAGGAAAGAAGGCUGCUUAUGCCUUGGGCCAAGGUCUUGGAGUGAUAGCCUGCAUUGGAGAGCUUUUGCAACAAAGGGAAGAAGGAAAAACUUUUGAUGUCUGUUAUAAGCAACUGAAGGCUUUGGCAGGCAAGCUGUUAACUCAUCUUCCAUAAACCUUUUCCUUUGCACCCCCUUCUUCUUCCCACCUCCCUCCUUCCCUCUAUCUCUCUCAUGAGUAAAUGUUUAAGUGGGAGAUGGACUAUCAAAAAAGAAAACAUGGUUAUCAAUUUUAAUGUCACAUAUAAAUCAUGAUAUUGCAGAUGCUGUACCAAGCUGGGAUGAUGUUGUUAUUGCCUAUGAGCCUGUAUGGGCUAUUGGAACUGGUAAAGUGGCCACACCUCAGCAAGCACAGGAAGUGCAUGUAGCUGUUCGCGAUUGGCUUAGUAAGAAUGUUUCAGCUGAAGUUGCUUCUAAAACAAGAAUUAUCUAUGGAGGUCUAAUCUCUCUCUCUCUCUAUCUCUCACUCCCCCCUCCCCGACAAAAAAAAAAAGAACCAAAAAGAAAAGUAGAAGCUAUUGUUCCUGUGCAGCUUGAUUAACUAUUGCUGUAUAUGAUCUCAAAGAAUGCUGUGGGUCAGGAAUUCAAUUGACCUUGUCGUCCUUGUCUUUGUUUCUGCUCCAGCGGACAUGAGCUUUCCAGAUGCUUCAGAAUAUUUUUGAUGGUUGAAUACUUUUUUUUUUUUAUAUUAUUAGACUACUGACUAUCUUUUUGCAGGUUCUGUUAAUGGAAGCAACUGUGCUGAUCUUGCAAAACAAGAAGAUAUUGAUGGAUUUCUUGUAGGUGGUGCUUCCUUAAAGGUACUAUUCUGCCUUUUAGAUAUUUAUACCUAGUUCUGUUGUCUACUGUUUAGGUUUUAUGUUUGUUUACUUGGUGUGGACUAGCAAAUGAAAACUUAACAUAUUUCAAAGUUUGGCCAAAAAGGGAUUGGGGUGAGCAAGGAGAAGAGGCUCUCUCGUGCCAGUGAUAGCAACAUGUUAUCUUGCCAUGACUGCAAGCUGUUUAUUUCAUGCAGAUAGUUCGGCAACUUCACAACUUUGAAUACUGUCACUUCUUAUCUUCAUUUGAGACAACAGUUCAUCUCAUUUUGUUAGUUCGCAGUACCUAGACUUGAUGGCAUGUUAGUCUUAUAUUUGGCAAUCGUUUGCUAUAUUCAAUCAGAUUCAGAAGGCUUUUAGACAUACAAUCCUAUGUUUAUUGUUUAGUAACCUUUACAUGUGUUGCCUUUGGUGUUAAUAAUUGAAUAUCCAUAGAGGCAUGUGGUAGUGAAUUUGUUGUUCUUAAUGACAGGGAUUAGUGAUCUCAUAAAAAUUGGCGCAUUUUGAUUAUUGAGGUUUUCUUCUCCAUUUUAAGAGAUGGUUUUUUAAGGAGCUUUAUUUUAGAAAGAGGAUGCUUUGAAUUUCUGAGUGUUGCUGGUGUUUUUGGCUCCUAAAAGUGGGCAUUGGGAGUUUAGCAGGGUGAGUGGUGUCUGUUGGGAAAGCAGAGAGAGAGAGAGAGAGUCACAUACCUGGAACAUAAAAUUGAUGUUUGAUUCAUUGGCUGCAGGGACCUGAGUUUGCUACAAUUGUUAAUUCUGUAACUUCCAAGAAGGUUGCUGCAUGAUCCUCUGAGGUAGCUUUUGGCAUCAAAAGGAUAGGCGGAUUGGAGUAUCUUCUGAGGUAUAAGUAUUGCGCAAACAGGAUCUUUUGGUCAGAUUUUGAUCCUGUUCAACUUCUUUGUCCCAUACAUUGAAUGAUGCACUUAAUUCGCUUCAACUAUAUAAAAUAAUAGAGAUUGUAUGCUAAAAUUUUAGCUUUUGGUGUAACAAAAUAAGUUUUGAGUUCAACAAUGUAUGAUCUUCCCGGAACAGAGUGAUUUUAUGUUAUGCAACAUAAAUUUUUCGCUCAGAUAUAAAUAAAACGCAGAGGAAUCAAGAGUUGGAUUUUGUUUGUUCUGUUCUCAUAUUUGAGGGGGCAAAAAAUAAAAUGGAAUGUCUUGUUGGUGAUGCUUACGGAACUUAAGUUGUGGACUGGUUUGAGCUUGAAAGCUUAUUAAGUUUGAAUCCCGAGCCUUUUUAUUUAUUUAUUUAUAAAUCUUCAUUUCCUCUUUUUGGUUAUCCCUUUUUUUUAAAAAAUAUUUUUCAAUCUGUCAUGGAGGAGGAGGUGGAAGAUGGGGGGGGAGAGCUCUACCAUUUAUUCUUGGUUGGCAGCAGCACCAAAAGUAUGAUGUGGCUCUCUAGAAGCUGCACACAAGAAUCGGGGUGGAGUUUUCUAAGUUUGCUGAGCAAAUACACUGAACUGAGAGAUGGCUACUUAAAAUAAGCAGUUUAAUUUUCCGCAGUGUUCUUUUGAAAGGAAUUCAAGUUUUUAUUUUGGUCAAAAUGAGCCAGAGUUUUGUUUGACAAGUGAAACUUAGUGCUAAAACAUUCAAAUUAUCGUUUCUUGACCUUUGCCAAGUGCUGGGGUUAGCCUGUGCACGUCUACGGAAAAGGGUAUGCGUACGUUUAUGUUGGCACCACGGCGGCAAGUGGACUAAGAGCAUCAGCAGCUUUGAGUGAGCAUUAGUUAAAGAACAGGAGAAUCCACACUCAAAAGCAUAUAUUAUUCCCAAGCAACUCUUCCUAGAAAGUAAAGCAUCCCAAAGGCCUUCAAUGUCUUCUACUAUAAAUCAUCCUUCCAAAAUGCUCGAAAGAUGGUAAGAAAACAGCAGAGGAGAGAGAUGGGUUGGUUUUAUUCCAGGAGGGGUCCGGAAUGGAAACAAGGAUGGAGAGGCCAGACGAUGGCCUCGCUCUCCUUGCCACCGCUUCCGCUACUGGCCAUAUUUGCCAUUGUCAUUUGCUUGUUAUCAUUGCCCCAAUCCACAAGCGCUGCAACCAUCGACUUGAAGUUGCUCCUCUUCUUAGUGCCCAUCCUUCUAAUCUUGUUAAUUCGUCCUAGCUUUUCUGGUGGCUGGUUCAACUUCGGGACUCCAAAGCCCGGGCCCGGUUCAUCAGCACAUCAAAGUGGCGGAUUCCCAUGGGGUGUUGCCUUGUUGGUGGUGAUCCUCGUGGUGUUGGUUUCUUAUCAAUCAUCAUUUCAAUCCAUGUGGUUUACCCCUCUGCGGAGCUCGGAUUAGUAAGCCGAAAGGCAGCAGUAACUUGCAAGCUAGGAGUUGUGUGCAUCUGUGUGUGUGUGUUUAGAAAUAAAUUGAAACAUUACUUAGAAUAGUAAAUUGCCAAAAAAAUUGUUAUGUUUGUUCAUCUGUGAUUCCUGUUGAAAAUUUUCCAAAAUUUGGCUUUCAUAUCGAGGACGGUUUUAGAAGACGACAUAUUAUUCCAGCACUGGCAGUGGUGGCCAUGGGCGGCCCGAAGAGCCAUGCAAGCCUAUGAGUUGCAUCACGGAAUUGGAUCUAUAUAGUUGCUUUAGGCCGAGCACAAAUGGCCCAGUGCAGAAAUGCAGCAACAAUACAUGAGGGAGCGAAUCUAAUUAACAUCUUUAAAUUAAAUAAUCUGCCUUCAACCCUUAACCACCAUUCCUUCCGAAAAAAAACCCUUUACCACCACCAUGAUUUUUUACUCGUUGGAAUCUGUUUCCUUGAAUCAUGAUGGUAUUAUGUAUUAUUGCGCUACCAAUCAAUUUCAAGAAUCAGGAACAGGAAUCAAUGCACCAUGUCCACAACAAAAGUCCAUAUGAACUGCUAAUCAAUUCAAGUUGUGAUUCAGAUAAUAAAUCCUGGGUCACACUCACAUAUAGCGAUCAUUGAAAUAUCGACCAAGAGACCUGCCGACCAUGCAUGAUAAACCAAAAAACAUUUAUCAGUCCAUAAAUAAACCUCUAUCAGUGGAGUAACUGAUGGGGCUCCAUCAAGAAUGGAGAUCCCCAAACAAAUGAUAUGCUGCUCUAAGACCAUCAAAUAAUAACUAAUUCAGGAAAGUUGAAAGCCGUCAAAAAGCAUGCACAAUCUGCACACGCAUUAAGCUAUUUAUUUACUACUCCAUUGAUUAGCAACUUCCUUUCCUCUCUUUUUAUCUUUUCCAUUUGUUGCAGAUUUUCAGCAGAAUUUCAGGCCCUGUAUGGAUUAUGGAGUACAACUCAACAAUCAUGAAUCACCAACAUCAUCUAAGAUAGCAAACUCUCACUCCGAUCCUACCGUGUAACACUUUAACAAUCUAAAGAUUUCCCUGCUUUUAAUACAUGCACACGAAGAAAAAAAAAAAAAGAAAGAAAGAGUAACGCAAAACCAAUUAUUACUAUCAACCAACAAGCUGUAUAUACUUGCAAAAACACAAGAGAAAGUGGACUAUGAACUGAUGUUGCACAAGAACAACUACUACUGGUCAUAUAAACCAACUAUCAAGAAAAGUAGACUGAAAUUGCAGCAAAACAAUCAGCAGCAGUAUCACGGCAGCCACUCCCCAGGGCGAGCUCCCUUCCGGGUACCGAUAGUACUGCAUCCUCCGAUGCCGAUCCCACGGCGAAGUACCCCAAAAGAAGCUCUCCGGGCUGUCUAUGCUGGACAAAAACCGCACGAGGAAUAUCAAGACCACCGGCACGGCAAACAUUAUCCAUCCCAGGUUUACUUCAGCGGUCUCUACCACUGACUCGUAAGAGACGUACGACUGGAGACCAAGAAAGAUACAGAUGACUCCCAAGAACAGCAGAACCGGAUAAGGCAGAGGGUUCAGUGAGAAAACCUCCAAGAAGGAGGCUGCAGUGCUUCUUCUGUGAACCAUGAUCAUAUACGAUUGAUGAUUGAGUGGUGGCUUCUGGAGUCUGGACUCUUUAUUUUUAGGACAAAUUCAGGAAGUCGUUGGGAACUGAAGGGGUACGUGACUUAAUCUUAUUGUACUGCUAGUCUGCUGGUCCUAGUUAUUGCCCAAUUAGCAGCACUUGACUAUAAAGGGGAUGUCUGAUGCAGUGUGAGAGGACCUACUGAAAUUAAGUGGUAAUGUGUACGAAAAGUUUAGAACCGUAGGUUUUGUUUUUGGCGACUUCUUGAUCAUCACCAUUUGGAAUAGUGAACUUAAGUUAAUUUCCUUUUUUAAAAAUUACUUUUUUUUUGGUAGGUUGAGUGAAAGGUACUUUUUUUCCUAGCUAGAAAAUGGUUUCCUUAUUUGUGGGGAUCAGUCAUGCUCAUCACUCAUCAAUGGCCUGUCAACGUAAUUUAAUGUGUCACGGUCCACUUUGCAGUUCUUGAUUGGCAGUUGUUGGACUGGCCCAGUUUGAAAGCAAACUGUAUCCCCAUCUUUUGGUGCCUGAUUUCAGGGCAUUUCAUCGUACUCUCUGCACCAGGAUUUCGAUUAUCUCCGAGUGUUAAUCUAUCUUUGUUGUGUUAUUUUCAGUAAUUUCGAUUGUUGAAAAAAAACAAUCUCUUAUUUUUUUCCAAAUUGAAAAAAAAAAAUCUAAUAGUACUAUGUUUUUUGAAGCAGCUGCAGCAUAAGUGGGUCGUCUAACCAGUCUAUAAUUAAUUGGUUAAGAGAAGCUGAGGAGCUAACAAAGCAGAAUUGAACCAUACAAAUGUUUUAACGCAAAGUUGGAGGUAAUAAUUGUGCGUGCGCGUAUUUGAAUAGCAAGUUAAUGUAAAUUUGGUUUACCAAACAGUGCUGAUUAGAGAUCCACUUGGAAUGAUUCGAAACCAAUGACGAAUGAAUCCAACUACCAACUCUAAAAAAACAUUGGGCCUCCUCAGGCCCAUAUGUCCUUGCAAGGACACUAGCAAGCGGAAUUUAGGCAUGCUGCUGUCUUGGCCCCUAAAUGUCUGCGGACGCUAGAAACUACAUAUAUAUACACACACAAAAAAUGACGAACAGGUAAAAGCAAAAUUUUGUUUGCUUAUCCAACCAGCAAGCCCUCGAGGAACAGCACUUUGUCCAAAUAUACGAGCCUUUUCCACCAGAAGAACCUGAGUUCAGACUUUUCCUUCGUACUGGAAAUAUAACUUGUAAUCAUUCUGCAAGAUUGCCAGAGCGCUUCUGCAAGGACCCUCUACAGACCAGUAGAAUAAGAAAGUUAGAUUCGAUGCAACUAGCCCCUUUAUAGUUCUCAAAAAAAAAAAAAAAAAAGGUUGUCUCACCUCCAAAUACCGUGUGAAGGUGCUGAAGCUGAUCUGCUGAACAAGCAUCAAUUAGAGCAUAUACACCAGGUCUCAAAGCUUCAUCAAUUUCCCUGUUGACAAGUUCAACCAUUGUGCUGUGAGUGCAAGGCAUGUACAAUGUAAAAGUUGGACAGAUGCAAAUAUCAUCCAUAAUUGAUGUUAAAAUCCAGAUUCCUAAUGAUCAGGAUAGUAGACCGCGAAGUGAACGUAAGACACGAGGAAUCACCUCCUGAUGCCGGUUUUAAGAGGACCAAAUCCACAGUAGACCCAUAUGUAACAGGAUAAAAAUUGAAAACAGUAGCGACCAAGGCUAUCCUUCUGCUGCCUUAUCUGCAAAACAAGGAAAAAAUAACCAGUUAACUUCUCUUUUUCUUUUUCCUUUUUUUUUUUUUGAAAUGGCAAUUGUUAUUUAAUGUGGGUGAGACCAGUACAUGCAAUUGAACAUGCAUCAAGUAAUUUAGUUUGCUCUCCAUUCAAGUUCCAAGGUCUAGCUAAAAUUAAGAGUAUACCAACAUUUUUUUUUUUUUUGGGGUCAAUAAGGCAUUUGGACAAGUUCUUUUCCUUUUAGUAAAAGAAUUAGGGAUUUGGAAAAUGGCAAAAGCAUAGGGAUUUGGAACAUGAACUAAAAUUAAAAUUGCAAACCCUGAACAGGUUGAAAUAUCUUGCAGCAUGCCUAAAACACUCGGAAAAGUACAAUCUUUCUAGUGCAUGGAAUAUAAGAAUCAAUUUAUCCACAGAGUUACUUAAGAGCAAUUUAUCCCUGAGUAGUACACGCACACACAUAUACACAUACCUCUUCAUAUACUCUUCUCAGACAGCAGGCACAUUUAACACCCUCUUGCACUUCCCAUGCAAAAUUCCCUCCUCUCACAAUUGGAUCGAUAUUCACCAUCUCCAAGCAAUGAAGAAGAAUACUGACUGAGUGUUCGAGAAGAGCAGCGCAUCGCUGAGUCUCACUAAAGAUCAACAGAACAGGGAUAGCAAAAUUGAUUAGCCAAUAAAAAGGGAUUAAGGCAGAUUUCUAGGACCAUUUGAACCAAGAAUAUAGGAAGUUUUUGCAUACCUUCCAUGAUGCUUAACAAGGGAGGACAAUAAUCGGCAGCAUGCAGCAUAUAGGUCCAAGGAAUACCUUCCGUCUAAGAUACGGCCACUUGUGAUUUUUAGGGAGCAAGUAUCUGUGGUUUUUGAAGUAGUUGAAGAAUAAGAAUCGGAGAGUUGAAGCUGGAGGAGAUUUUGGAAUAAUGCUGCAGGUAUGUUUAAGGACUGCCCAACAUAGGAGGCAUCCAUUUGAAAGAGAGCAUGCUUUCCAGUAACCCUUCUCAGCAACUCAAUGCACAUAAGGAUGACUGACCCAGAAUCUGGACCAGUGUAACCUUCAUCAAAGUUAACAUUUCCUUGGAAAAUGCUGGGCCCCUGCAAGUGUAGGACUACGUUGAAGAGACAUGCAACUAAGCUCUGGAUGUGUCUUUUUACUACGUUCAGACGUUUGCGCCCUAGAAGCAAAUGGAAAAAAUAUAAUUACAUGCAUAAAUAACACUGCAUGAAAUGAUCUAAUUCACAAAAGAUGCAUUACUGUGGCAAUUUGUUAUUUAAAACAACUGGAGAAGAAAAAGGGACUCACAAAGCAUGUCGACUAAAUAGCUCUACUGUGAUACUAGUUCCUUUCCAAUAUCAUCAAUGAAAUAAAUCCCAAAGCAUUAUAUUCACAACUUUUUCCCGCAUGUCAAAUAAAGAAUUUUUGGUCCUGCUGGUCCAUAUGAACCAAGGCCUUGUUCAGCACCAAUCUUUGGUUCUCUGUGCAAAAACUACUUUAUUCUUCCAGAAACAAAUCAGAUGAAGGCAAAAAACCAGAUCGUCUGAUGGGAUCUAACAUAUCAAUUGAGAAAAAUAGGAAGAUACCAAGAGACAUAAAGAUGUACAAACACAGAGAAACCAAGAACAAUCCACGAUUUAACAGACAAGAAAUCAACAUGCCGAAAGUUGGCAAUCCACAUAGAGAUUAUCUUUUUGAAAAUGUUAUUCAAAACAAGAGGGGGGGCAACUGAGUGAGGUACAAAAAGCAAAGUAACCUCACCUGUCACAAAUUCAAUAAGUGAAUCCAAACAAUCAAUGCCAGCAGCAACAACUGAAGAUACCUUCCCACAACCCAAACUGCCAAUAUGAAUUUCAUAGUUUGUCAAGCAGCCGUCCUGCACUCCCACAACAGCUCUUUCUAUAGCCUGAAUUGCUGUUAACAAAUGCAACUCUGAUGAUUUCUGAACCAGAACUCUGAAUGAUGUCCUCAGUCUAGCUAUAAAGUCAUCCAAGCAACUCAAUUCGUGAGAAAUGGAGGACUCAGAAAAGUUCAACCACUCAAUUGGCUUUUCCAUACUUGACCCAGUCUCUUUUGAAGAAAGAGUAGCUAUUUUUCCCUGUAAAACAAUGCACUUUCCGAUAGACCUCAAAUGCAAGUCUAUCAGCUUCCCAUACAAUUUCCUGGAUAAUAUAGGGCUGGAUGAAGGAAAACAAUUACCUAAUUCUUCCAUAAAUUUGAUAACCCCAUUUAACCAUACAAAAGAAAAUGGAGGUGGAGCAACAUCUCUUGCAAAUUCCAGUAAUAAGACUUCAGAAACUCCAAGUAGAAUUGGCAUAAUAUUUUGCAACAGAGCAGUGGAACCCAGCUCCAACUUCAGUCUCAAUAUAGCUGCAGCAGCAAGAAAUAGCUGUUUAAGAAAAUAAGCCUCUUCUGAUUUGUCACCUCUGAUAAGUUCAUGCAAAAAUGUCUUCCUUAAACAUCUUGAAUCAAACAAUUGAACCUUGGCUAGAAGAGAUUCAACAUCUUCAUUUUUUGGAAUGGGCUUCCCUUUCACUACAGAUUUGUCAGAAAUAUAAUGUACUUCAUUAUUUCCUCUGUUACCAAAAGGUUCACUAACUUGUGACAUUUCCGCAUGCAAAACAUCAUUACCAUCAGCACCUUUAUUAAUGAACACCUCUUCAUUUUCCAAACACAGAUGGUCCAAUUCUGGCUGGUCAAGUUUUUGAGCAAUUGCUAGAUUUUGAGCCAAUGAAUCAUCCUCAAGAAGAAAUAGCUGUAAGAAGUAGCUUACAUAUUCUGCACAUGUAUUUAUAAAGAUAUUUAGUUUGUACAGAGGUUCCAAUUCGCAUUUGGACAAUCUUAUCCUCAUUUUACAAUUCUCCGCAUCUAUGUUGCCGAGCCCAGAAGCUAAACCCCAUAGGAAGCCUUGAAUGCAAGAUAUCACAGGUGACAAUUUCUUCAACUCCUGAAACUCAGGCAGAACUCCCAAGUUUUCACUUGCAUAGGCUUGGCUAAAACAUGCAAGUGAGUUCUGCAUGCAUUCGCUUAAAACAUUGGCUACAAGUGCUAAACUUUUACAUGGAUCAUUGUCUCUGCAAAAAUCUAAAUGUGGUUCAUCUUCAGCCAAAUCUGUGUCUUGACUACCAACAGCAAAAUUAUCUUGUCCAUUAUAAUCCAUCCCUGAAAAAAGCAAUGAAAUUUGCAACCGGUUUUUGCCCACUGUCAAAAACAUAUAUGAUGUGUGAUCCAUCAAUGAAAAUAACAAAUCUUUCAGUUGAGAAGGAACAGCUUCUGAAGAAGCAUUUUGAAAUCCAACUACUGCAAGCAAUGACUCCAAAAGCCAUAAUACAGGAGAUGAACCCUCUAAUAGUAAGCUAAUAAGUGAAGAGUGAUUGUAAUCCAUAUUCUCUUCACAUGAAGCCAUCAAUAAACUUUUAAGGGUCCUCCGACAGGAGAGAAACAGUUGGAAAAACUCAUCAUGACCACCUGCAAGUAAGGUGUUGUACCAACCUAACAAGCUGCCAACCGCAACCCUGAAAUGCACGACUUUAAUGAAACACUGAGAAAGAAUUCUAAGCUGUGCAUGCUUCAUAAACUGAAAUUGCAACCCCCCCCUGCCCCAAAAAAAAAGGAGUAACUCAUGUUGCAUGACUAACCAGUAACAUAGAAUUCAAAUCAAAUAAGAAAAGAAAAUAAUAAAGUCCUCGCCCCACUUGAAUUUUCCAAUUUGCAGUGAAUUGUUCUACAAGAUUAAGCUGAUUAGGAUCUGAAAGAGCAUAAAUUCAAACCACAUAUAGACAGGUAGGCAAACUUUCACAAAAAUUUGCAUAUGUAAUACAAAUAAUGUGCAUUUAUACUUCUACUGAAUCCAAACUUAUUAACUAAGAUGCUGGAGUAUUAAUCAAGAGACAAACCCUAUAUAGGGCAAGUAGCCAAUAUCAAAUUCUUAAACUGAAAAAUAAAGAGUUGUUAGCUGAAGCAACCACCAAAGGUCAGUGCUUCCACACCACAGUGACCACAGAUGCAAUACGCAACCUAGAAUGCCACAGUGACCACAGAUGCAAUACCACACUGUCAGUCAAAAGAAGCCCACAUUAUACUGAAAUCAUCAAAGCAAAGGAUAGUCAAGCAAAGACAAGAAAAUAUCGAAAAAUUGAAGGAACCAAUAGCUAAUACAAAAGGUCAUAUCUAAACAGAAGACUAGAUGGUUCCCUGUUGGGAGUUUUUACCGUCUUAACUUUGAACUAUGCUUCUCUUUUUCACUCUGCAUCUUUCUACUGAAAAGUCUGGCACUGUCCCACUUCUAAUCUCAGGACUUAAAUUAAAGAAACUAAUCCUUUUACCAAAUUAUUAACAAAUGAAAGAGCCAAUGUUAGUGGCAAGAGGAUCUUCACAUUGUAAUUUUAAAUUUAAAAUAGUAUGACAGGUAAAAGAGUUCAUUUCAUAAAGUGCCAAGGCUCCAUAAAGCAAAUUUAAGAAAGAUGAUCCAAUGAAUACCCAUUCCACCCCCACCCUUCUGGAUUUAGUUGUUGAUCCAAUUUGCACAAUGCAAACAAAAACCAAAAAAAUUCAUUCCCAAGUUGUUAUACUUUUCUAGUUAGUUAACAUCCAUAGUUUGGUUCACAUCUUAAGACCAAAACACAGAUCUAAACCUUGGAAACAUAUACUAUAAACCUACCGCACAUUGAAAAAAUGGCUUAAAUGCCAAAAACAACAUCAGCAGCUAGCAGAUCUCGCAUAUCAUAUGCAUAGCCACUUAAACAUAUUAUCAGAACUAAGGUUCACAGGAAUUGAACAUACUGCUCAAGUUUGAGAAUGCAAUUCGCAAACGAUUGGAAAGAUUUUGGACCUAGAAUCUCUUUUGGCAUCCAAGACAAAAAGUUCAGCAAACUGUUACACAAAGCAUACUCAGUGUUGCUGGAAGGAGCUACAUCUUCUAUUCUGCAAAUUUCAGCAUUCUUCGCAGACUUCUUGACAUGAAUAAUGUUAGAUGGAUUUCUAAGAGCGCGUAUAAUUUCCGACCAAUCAUGUUGUGAACUUAGAUAACCUUCUCCAAAAUCAACAGAAAUAGAUGACAAGGAUGCUUCCAAGAUCUGGCAAAAUGUCGAUGCUAUAUGCCUGCGAAAAAACUAACAUACCAGAAAGUAAGAAAUUGCCUGCAGCUAGAAUCCAGUCAAAAAAUUUUAAGUGAAUAGCUAGAUGCCUGUGGGAAUUGGGAGAAUGGAAAGCAAAAAGUGUGGUUGGGACCAUGGGAAUGUAAGAAGAAAGAGGGAGAAGGUGGUGCCUACAUAAAGACUCUAUGACUUCACCCUAGAGGCAAAUAAACAAUAACUAACAAUUUAUUACGAGGUCCACUGGGCAAGGCCAGCCUGUCCCUUGUGUGACACAUGCAACUCUAAAAGCUGGUGAAUAUGUUAUCUGGAAUGAACAUACUAUCUUACUUUUUGUUCAUAGAGACCAGUGUCAUUCAGAAGUUCAAGCGAGAUUUGCUGUGUGGUAACAUUCCUCAGAUGGCCAACCUUGUUAAUGCAGUGUGAUCUAAAUUUGUCGUUACCACCACUUCCAAUAAGAAGGGAACAGUUGAUCAAAUGUGUGAGAAAUUGCUUAAGGUCUUUCUUAGAAGCAUGUCUGCACCAGAUAUCAAUAUGCUGACAAGCAAUCAACCACAUUGCAGCUGGUAAUGUCUUUUGGUCCAGAGCACCAACAUUAAGGUCCCAUGCAUUGUCUUUCUGAAGAUUUUGGAUGGAUAAGCAUUUAGAAAGUCCACUAUCAUAUGAGAUAGUUAACUGGUCCUUAAACAAUGACGAGAAACAUAACAUCAUGAAUUUAGUCAGCCCAGCAGCCUCUUGCUUCAUACUCAAGAGACACUUCCUCCACUUUUUACCUCUCUUAUAUGAUACUCCAGUAUCAUCAAUCAUCUCUGCCGCAAUUAACUUAUCAUUUCUUGCAAGCAAAUAUUCAAAGGAUUUUGUCAUCCUGUUUAAAUCAACAAGUCUCUGAAUAGUCAUGGCAUUUAAAACAUAGACUAAAGGCGGGCAACCAGCCAGAGUAUCUUGAAAAUACAUCCUUGAAACAUUGUUUAUUAUGGUAAGAAGAUUAGCUGAUGGUUGGAUGAUCCAAGAAAAGUAGCCUUCAGCAUUCUGAACAAUGCCAUCCAACCAAUCCUUCCCAGAGUAAGCUGCAUAAGGGUCACCCAUUGUUUCUGACAUUUUUUUGGAUGUAUGUGGUGGUACAUGGCUGAUCACUCGUCGAUAUAAGCUUCUGCAGGAUAAAUAUAGACGGAAAAAGAACACUAAGAGCCAGCAUGACAAGGAAUCAUUUUCUAAUCCAACCCCCCAGCUGGAACUUUGUCCAGAAACAAGGGAGAAAAACUUAUCCAUGAUAUCUGGCUUAAGUAAAUCUUGGCUAUUUGAGCUGUGGCACAUAAGUUCCAUCAAAUCCUUGAUGGAACUACCAACAGCAUUACAAUUACCAGAAGUGACAGUCAUGGAAUCUAGAAUUAAAGUAUAUAUUUCAGACAAAAAUCUUCCCAAAAGUUCUGCCUUCAAAUCAAACCAUGAGAAACCACCAUCAGUACAACCUGGCUUUGAUAAAUCAUCUGCAGGACCAAGCUGAAGUUGAGCAUUCAACCACUUCAGGGAUUCAGAAAUUUCUGCAGUUAAUAGUCGAAUACAUCCACUCACUUGGCCUUCUGGAAUGGACUUGAAACCGUUGUAGAUGGAAAGUCUAAACUCCAGCGAGCAUAGCAAUGUACUCAAUGACAUUGAGCAAGAACAAUAAGAUUCUGAAGUGCAUGCUUCACCGUCUUUAUGAGCUGAUUCCAAAUGCCUUGCUGCUUUACAGAGAGCAAACACUGAGGUAUUAACCUGCAUUCAUUUAACUAUAAGAUCAGUAUCUUUCAGAUUCCAAUCCACCAUAAGAAAACAGAGACUGAAACAGGACAAUCAAGUGUAAAAAUGCAAAACAAUAGUGUCAAAAAAACAACAAACUGCCAUCUACUUCUGGUCCCUUGUAUUUUUUCUUUAACUGAAGCUCUGUCAUUGUUACAUGCAACCUCCUUCAGCCUAACAAUAACAAGCAAUGGGGAAAGACUAAGAUUGCUACAUUUGCAUGCAACUGUGUUUGUAUACCAAACCCAUGACCUCCUACUUAUCCUAUGAUGUUGUUUGCAUCCUAUUCAGCAAAUAGAGUUUGCCUAUAGCCUGGUUGUACAAAUGAAAUUGAUAAUUUCCUUCUUACUUGUGCCCCUCUGAGAAAAUCUUUUCUUGUAGGGCGGGGGGAUAGGUCUCUACCAACAAAAGGCCAAUGUUCCAUAGGUUGGUCACUAUUAGUAUCAAACAAAAUAACGUUUAAAACUGAAAGCCUCUGAUUUCAGCACCAACAUCGCCUAUUCAUUAUAUAUUCCCACUUUUUGAACUCAAGAGCAGUCAUGUCAAAAUUGAUAUGAGAUAUUCAACCAACCUGCCGAAGUUCACUGUAAAGAUUGAUUAGGGCACAUCCAAGAAUAUGUAUCUCCGAGAUUAAUAGGUGCUUAUCCGGCACAUCAACCAUAGACUGGCUGGAGGAUGCAAAUGUGAACAUUAUCCCCCAUAAGUUUUCUAGAUCAUCCCCAACAACCUCAUAUUCAAUUUCCACUAAGAGAUGCACAGCAACAACUAUCUCCUUUGCCAUUAGAAUCAGGACCUCCUGAUUUCUAACAUUUGAACCAAAUGAUGACAUCAGAUGUUUAAUCUUGACAGACAACAACAUAAUGGUCUCAUAAAUGAAUCUCAGGAAAUUCAUGCAUGCCCCUUCAGAAAUAUCCUCCAAUCGUGUGUAUAUAUUUUCCUGCUUAAAACUGGCAAGCAACUUGUUUGCUGAUAUCAACACACACAGAACAUCUGACAAGGGGGUUCCUACAUUCCAUUCAGCUUGAAGAUGCAUUGUAAUAUGCGAUAGAAAAGAUUCCAUAAUUUGGACAAAGAAAUCAAAAAGAGACUUCCGUGUUACUGCACUCACAGAACCUGAACAAUUCUGUGUUUGUAAAGCCACAUUACUGCUACCAGAAGACCUUUCAGAAAUAUGACCAGCAGAAUCUUCCAGUUGCCUGGAAACUUUAUUGACACUUGAAACUCCUUUUUGCUUUGUGGCACACACAACAAACAAGUGAAAUAGUGCUCCCACGCCACCUAAUGGCAAUGAAUUUUUGCAGGCUAUGAUCUUCUCCAACUUGUCAAAUAGUUUUCUAUGAUAACUUUUAAUAAAAAAUAUUCUUUCCUUUGAUUUCCCGUCAUCAGAUUUUUUAUACUUGCCUGUGCUCUGCAAGCUCAAAAAUCCAUCAAUAUGAGCUGCGUGAAAUAACCCCUGAGAUGAAAUUUCUUCAACUAAUUUUAGUAGGUUUUUACUCCAUCCUAGAUCCUUGCAUGUAGAAAGACGUAACUCAUCCAAUAGAUGCAUCAGUGGCUCGAGAAGCCGAUCAAUAAAAUCAUGAAAACCAUUCUUACGAGCUGGAUGGACUCUCAAAAACUUAGCAAAUGGCUCAAGCAGAUAGCAUGAGAAUUGAAGGAUGAAGAUACCCGCCUUGCUGUCAGCAACUUUGUUACUGAAAACUUUUCUGACAAUUUCAAGCACUGUAUCAGUUACCAUAAUCCACAAGUCCAAAUUUGCAUUUGCAACCCCAUUAUGGGAUGAAAAUAUGAAUGAAAUGCAACUGAGCACAGUUUCUUGCAAUUCAUUGCCUUCACUGCUCAAAGCUGACUCCUUGGAAUCUAUUAACUCAAGACUGAAACAUGCCAAUGCAUCCCGUGAGAUGCAAUCAAUUACCCGUAGAAAGUCUCUUGAAUAGUUCAAUGAUACAUUAACUUUUAGAGACUCCUCCAAACAGAAUUUCAGAAUCACCCAGCAUCUGUAAUCUAAACAGAAGCCAACAGUUUCUGGGUGACCCUCAGAUCCUUUAUCUGGAGUUUUUUUAACUGAAGAAAUCAAAACUGACUCAAUCCAGUUGCUAACAAAAACUACUACUCUUGACAUACUAACUGCAUCCAAAAUUUCAAGGCUGUCGUCACCAUCUUCUCUUAUAGAUGUUCUUAACAGCACAUACUUACAAGCCACCUCCAGCUUCCUGCAUUAAAAUUGAAACCAAUCAAACUCCAACAGAAAUAUGGCAAAUCUUUGAAUGACAAAUUAAUCUAAUCAUUCUACAGAAUAGCUGUGUUUGAGAAAAUGGAAGACAGUAGAUUACGUUGGUUUAUUCUCCCUCCAAACCCAACCCUUUUUGGCUUCCUUGAGCGACAGCUCAUGCGAUGUUAUUGCAACACUAAACCAAAAGCAGCCCUCUUUACACCUAGCCAACUCUCAAACCCACCCUCACCUCCCACCCAACACAAAGAUGAAAACAGAAACAUAACAAACAGGAAACAACCUUCAAAGCUUCAGUGGGCUUUCUAAUAGCAUGAAUCCCCUUCAAACAAAUAAUAAACAGGAAUCCCCAAACUGUUCCACUCAUUUGAACAAUUUUGUCAAACAACUUAAGUAUUGAACGUAUACUGUUAGCAUAAAUGACAAUGGUGCGUCUACUGAUUAGUAAAAAGGAAACGGAAAGAGAGAGAAGAAUACUGACGUGGGAAGAUCAAUGUGUUUAUUCUGAAGCAACAAAAUCAACUGUAAAUUCCUCCAUGGAGACACCUCUUCUAAAUUAAACAGUAGUUUCCCAUCUUCUGCCUCUGUUUUUUGCUUUUCAUAUGUUCCUUGAGAGGAGUCAACUCUGGAGCUUUUAGAAGGACCCUGAUGUUCUUCUUCUUCUUCUUCUUUUUGGUGGGCAUGCAUAUGCUUUCUUUUCUUGUUUUUCAUCGUCGUAAAUUUUUCCCCUGGUCUCGGCUCGGAAUCAGCCAGUAUCAGGGCUCUUGGACGUGGUGGUGAUGGAGGUGCUCCAGAAUUUAAUUCUCAGGGGUUCUUGUUCUUGUAGGGUUUUAGGAAAAAGCGCAGUAAUUCAACGAGCGACGACGUCGUGUCUCUGGUGCGGAAGUUGGGAAAGAGGGUCUACAUCUUAUAAACUAUAAAGCACUAUUUAUGACACUUUAGUACCUAUACUUUUCUUUAUCGUCACUUUGACCCAAAUGGUUUGUAGAUAUUAGUUUUUUUUUUUUUUUAAGUAAAUGUCAGAACCUCCUAUUUACUUACAUUCACUCUUAUCUUACCACCCAAUCCAAUUUUUAUUUACGUGGAGUAUUAAAGUAUCUCCUAAGGGUUUAAAAUCCUCUUUAGAAUUAGGAUUUGGACAAAGUCGAUGAAGUAACUUAGUAAAUGAAAAGGUAAAACAAAUGUGCAUACCGCUUUUAUUUUUAUAUAGAUUGUUUCUACAAAAAUCCUAUUUUAUGAUAAUCAAUUUUUUAUCUAAACAUAAAACAGAAUCAAGAAAAUGUGAAAGUAAAAAGACAAAGAAGCUCUUGAAUGAUUUUAAUUAUUCUUUUUUAAAAAAAAAAAAAACCCUUGUAACUACUCUUUUCAAUUAUAACUCGCAAUCACCUAUCUCAUUAUAUAAAACAUAAUCGAUUCAAAAAAGCUGUAAAAAAAAAAAUGUCGGUGAGUUCACAUUUCAAAUUCUGUGUCCAUAUCUCUGGUCCUGACAAGACCUUCUACCUUCUAUACAACCCAAUUGAAUUUUGCUUCUUAAAUAGAGAGUUGGAAUUGUGAUGGUGUAUAAAUAAUUUUAACUACCUAGCAGGGUAUAAAAAGGGUGCUAGCACUAGAUUUUACAAUAAAUGUAUACUCCAUCAUGUACAUGCAAAAGUACAUUGUGGUGUAAACACACAUGUCAUCUUUACCAACUAGCUCUUCAAGUGUAUUUCUAAAUAAUUUCUCCAUAAAUCUAAAUUGAGGUCAUAAAACAAAAGAUGUAAAUUUGUCUAGCUUUAAGGAGUGUCCUCAUUAAUGUACAUGAAACAACAUGUUAGUAUGCAAAUUUACACUUCAUUGCCAAUUGUGUUAAAGUAGUGAUAAAUGUGAGGUAAUUGUCAUAAGAUGAGAGUUCGAGCAGCAAGGUGUCAACAUCUUGAAGAUACUAACAUGUUGAAUCCAGCUUCGAGGUUGACUCUACCAUUUUGUUAGGCCCUGCACACAUUAGAGAUUUGUGUUAAAACGCAACAUGGGGGAAUAGCUGGUAGCCAACCGAGUUGAAUUUGAGAAUAUGAAAAGCUCAAUACAAAAUCGGUUCACUUCCCUUUCAAUGUUCUAAGCAUUGAGAAUGACAAAUUACAACAUGCCAAAUGGUAAGGAAUUGAUGUAAUUUUCCAGUGAAACAGAAGCAAGAUCAACCUUAUUUGGAUUGCUGUUUUUCGUCAAAAAAUUACGUUGUUUUCCGUAAUCACAUUUUUCUAUUAGCUUUUUUUCUUACAUACAUCAAAUCACUACAGUAAUUUUUUCAUAAAAAAUCAUGAAAAAUACAAUCCAAACACAAUAGUAUUCCAGUCUUAGGGAAAAGAAGUUCUUGUGAAACAUUCUCCGUGGAAUACUUUCUUGUAGUAUAGUUUAGUCAACGUAGUAAUUUGAAAUGGAUUUUGCCUUUUGUCGCUGGUAUGCAUCGCCCAUAUCCUUCGAAAAAAUCGCACGAGGCUGCGGGGCUGUCAUUUUCUAGAGCACCUUUUUGCCGUACUAUAUACUUCUCGGUGCCAUUUAGUACUGUAUUUAGGGAAAGGAAAUUAGAUAUUUAUUUAAAUAAUUCCAACAUGGGAAUGAAGCCGGAUGUACAAAAUAUCUUUUGGGCCUUUUUGGUAAAAGAAUUUUUUGCCAAAAUUUUUCCCUAUGAGUUUUUUUUUUUUUUUUUUUUACCAAUUUUUACUAUAGUAACUUCAUAAAAAUUUUUCAAAAAUUUUUAAACUACACACCUUAAAAUACUCAAAAAUAUGUAAAAAAAAAAAAAAAAAAAUACCUUUCUUCCAUUCCUUUGCUUCAUCUCCCACCUCAACUCACCACUAUCUUUGCUACCGGCCAACGCCGACUAACUUCUUUGUUAGUGGUAGUGUCGACGAUUGUUUUCUUUCUUAAUCUUUCCUUUUCAUUUCUCUUUCUCUCUCUCCUUCCUUUCCCCCUUUCUAGAGCUGUUAAGCCAAUCGAGUAGCUCGAAAGCUCGUUAGAGCUCGGCUCGUUAAGGCUCGAGCUCGACUCGUUAAUUUUGGUUAACAAGUCGAGCUCGAAACAUGCUCGUUUAGUUAACGAGCCGAGUAAGCUCGGCUCGUUUGAUACUCGAGUAGCUCGUUAGAACUCGUUAAUGAAGGGCAUAUUUGUCAUUUUAGAAAUCAAAAUUAUAUAAAUUAAAAAUUAUAGGUUUUUAUUAAUGUUAAUUUGCACGAGCUCGAGCUCGAGCUCGUGAAACUCAACUCGUUUGUCACAAACGAGUCGAGCUCGAGCUCGAACUCGAGUCACAUAUACAUUUAACGAGUCGAGUUCGAACACAUUUUAAAGUUCAUUUUCUUAACGAGCUCGAGUUGAGCUCGGCUCGAAUUAAACUCGAGUCGAGCUCGGCAACCAAAUACUCGGCUCGACUCGGCUCGAUUAACAGCUCUACUCCUUUCCCUCUUCCCCUCUCCUAUUAUCCUUCUUUCCUUCCCUCUCUCUUGAUUCAAUGACGAAGAAGGAGAGAAGAUGACAGGGAAAAAGGGAAGAGAGGAAGGAGGGAGAGAAAAAAAAAAAGAAAAGAUCGUAGAUAACGGUAGCCGCCCAAUGGGGAGUGAUGGAGAUGAUGAGUAAUGUGAUUGGAAAUAAGAAGAGGAGAUGAAAGAAAGGGGAAAAGAAAAAGAAACAGGAAAAAAAGAAAAAAAAUUUCUUAAAGAAAAGUUUUUACAAAUUUUAAAAAGUUUUUUUGAUAAAUUUUAUUUAAAAUUUUAUCAUAAAUUACAGUAAAAUGUUAGAUAAAUAAUAAAAAAAAUCAUUUGUGAAACGGGCCCUUGCUAGUAGGCUAAUAAAACUUCACAUGCAUGCAUGAGUAACAAUCUUGGAAUAUGAUAAAUCAAGGGUCUGUUUGGUUGGAAGUAAAAUGUUUUCUUUGGAAACAUAUUUUUCGUAGAAAUAAUUUUCCAUGAAAAUCAUUUCCCUUUCAUCAUUUUCAGGUGUUUGGUUAGCUUAUUGAAAAUAUUUUCUUACUUCAUUUUUCUGGUGUUUGUUUAACUUUUGAAAUAUCUUCACUUUUAUCUCUAUCUUUACUUUCUACACAUUAUAACUACAUAUUUCUUCCCAUGCAAAAUAAGAAAAUUUAUCUCAUUGUUUAACUUUAAAAAAUCUUGGAGAAAUGUAUAUAUGAAUAAAAAAUAUCUCCUUAAACAAUAAACAAAUUGCUGGCCAUUUAGUGUCAAAUAUCAAUCACAUGCAAUGCUUAUUGUGACAUAUAUCUUGCACUCUCACUGCUGAAAGUUUCUCUAGAAAAGAAUGUCCCUAUUAUACAUAAUUAAUUACUAGCAUAAGAUGAGCAAGAUGAGAUUUUUUUUAUUUAUUUUGAAUAUACUAGGAGGAGGGUUGGGUUGGGUUGGGUGGUAUGGGGGAGGGAGUGUAAGGAAGAAGUUUUAGGUUUGAGUCAUCCUGUUUACACUAAAAAAAAAAAAGAACAUACUACAAGAUGUUUUCAGUAAGUUUGGAACAUACUACAGGCGGGAUGCAUGCAUUUCGGAAAACAACUUCAGUAAGUUUGGAAGGAAAGUUGUUUUCCAUAGGAUGAGUGAAAAUAUUUUACAUAGGAAAAUGUUUUCAGUAAUUUUUGUGCAACCAAACACGAGAAAUUAGAAAAAUAUUUUCCUGAAAAAUAUUUUCACCCGAAACAAACGGACCCAAGUGAAGAUUUGUUUUCAUUUCACACAUUGAAGACCAAUAGUCCAAGCCGCAGAAGGCAAUUUUGCCAAUUAGGGACGCCAACCAAGCCCCCCCUCAGGGCGCCAGCCCCGUGCUCAUUUUCCCAACCCUUUUGCUGGUUGGAUCUACUGAUCGUACACGUGCACUACCAGACACAGAUCCCUAUAAACAAACAUGCAUUAUUAUUAGGAUUGCUCCCUUCACAGGUACGGACUAAACAACCCCUGCCCCGUGGCCCCUUCCAUCAUCAGCUUAAGCUGCACAAGUCCCCACGGCACUUUUUAACUGCACAUGGCACAACAAAAAAUACCAGAACCAACUCCGUCCGUCAAUUUCACAACAGUUGUGGACCCAAUGUACGAGGCGCAUGAUUAUCCGAAAAAAGAAGCAAAAUCCCAAGACCUCACAUGAUGUGCAACAUAAUGUCGCGUCUGAAGUUGUUUUCUAUAUUUAUAUUAUGAAUUACAUUCAUAUUGAUUUGCAUAAUUGAACAAAAGAUUAUAUUAUGUUGAAAUGCACAAAUUUGAGUCGAUUGAACUGACAAUCGUUCGCGUCUAAUUUCCUCAUCGCUAAUAAUCAACUAAUACGGGUUUGCCAAGUUCGCCAUGAAAGACUUUUUAAAUCUCUUUCGGUUCCAAGUCAAGAGUUUAAACCUUACUUACUAAAUCUGCACAGUAAAUUCAGUUUCCUUUUCAUCAAAAAAAUUUUGAGUGUGUUGGUCUACACAAUCUUCCAGUAUAACUGGUGCAACCUUUACCCUCUUUACAUAAUUUUUAUAGUGUAUAAGUAGAAUAAAUGAUUGAUACUUAUUGGACUCAACUGUCUAACUUUUGGCUCUUAACAUGGUUUAGUUGGGUUCUCUCUUCUCCAUCGUAUAUAAGUAUAAUAAAUAUUGCGAGGAUGGAUAGAAAAAAAGUAAAUUUUAUAUACACUAUCAGUGUAUACAUCAUCACGAAUUGGAUGAAUGAUACAUGAGUAAAAUUUGAAUUUAAAAUUUAAAUUUUAUACAUGUAUCAUAUAUGUGAUGGUGAUAUGUAUAUAUGUAUAAGAUAUACAAGAUUAAUCCUCAAAAAAAUAGAAGUGAUGUUAGUGGGUCGCACUUUAUAUAUAACGUGUGAUGGACAAAGAACAUAAUACUAGUUUUUUACAACCAUUUACUACUUGGUACUGAUGGGACGCUUGAAAAUGCUAGAUAGCAGGCAUGGAGAACUCACACUCCCAUUUUUUUCCCCCAGUCCAAUUUCAAACUUCAAAUGACGGCACAAUAUGAGUAGCCAACUUGAUUUAGACAUCGAAUCCUUCGACACAAAAUAUUGAAGGGUGUUACAGAGUUUACAACUUACGUAUACAUGAUUAACAUAUCAUAGAUUUACCAAAUCGCUCACACAGUUGCAGUUUUCGAAUGGCAUAGCCCUCCGCCACGCAUGACGUAUGAAGCCAGCUACCCCUCUUCCCACGCCCAAAUUGGCUGGUGAAUGCAGAGCAUUUUUACCCUGUAUUGCAAUUCAUGUAAUUUCCGUGACCUAAGAAAUAUGUGUAGAUGUUGAUUGUCCUUACGUGACCAAGCUGCUGCUUUGGGUCAGCAUCUUUCAAUUAUAUACCCCAGGCUUCUCCAGGCCUACCUGUUGAUAUUUUGUCCCUAUUACUGACGAUAUAAGAGAUUUCCCAUGUCUCUAUAUUCUAGCCUGGUGGUCCUUUCUUUAUAUUCAGCCUUUUCGUGGGAUCUCUAUUUCUUUCAUUAUUAAUUGUUCUCACUCCUCAAUCCUUAAAAAGCUUUGCGUAAGUGAUGCUAUUGAUCAUCGGUGCUGUUCAUAGUUUGGUUUUCUUCGUUUUCUCUGCUUUAAUAUAUGUAUUAUCUGUUUUCUGAAUCUGGGUUUUCUCUCGUUUCGUUUCAUGCAUGUCCCAAUACCUAUUCCACUUCUUCUGCCAAAUGGGAGUUCUUUAAGUCCUGAGUUCUGGUCUAAGAUAAAAUGAUGUUCUCUCCCUCCACCGGGGGCGCCGCGGGGGCGGCGUCUCUGCCUUUAUUAUUAUUUUUUUGGCUGCCUUUCUUCUUUCUUGUCUUCUUUCCUCCUGUUUUAAUUAUUUUUGUUGGACGUCAGUACGCCAAGGAAUAUUUGAUUGGCGGUAUCUAUCUGUCUCUGGAAUUAAAGCACAUUAGCAAACAUUACUUGUUGAACCCAUAUCUUAAUUUUUUGCUGAAAUGAUUUUAUCUGUCAUUCUGCACGUCGCACGUGAGGGUUUUUUUGGCUGAAUCUUGAUUUAUGAAAUGCAGAAUGCUAAGCUGCUGAUAUAGUUUGCCCCGGAACUACUUUUCUUGAAGACAAUUAAAGGCUUCAAGAAUGUCUACCCUUUCUGCUGAUGUUUCUCAAAAUGGUACUAUCAAGAAUGUUGAUUCGUCGAGUAGUGUUUUUGAACUAGAAGAGUAUGAUUUCUCCAAGUUGCCAGAUAGGCCUAAGAAUCUGAAUAUAGAUAGACAGCGAUCAUUUGAUGAAAGGUCACUUACUGAAUUACCAAUGGGACAUUCUCCUUGUCCCCCGUCGAGGGCGGAUAACUACUAUGGAGCUUUAGAUCAUUUUGACGGUUUUUUUUCCCCCAGUAAAAGGUCUCUCCUUAAUACUCCGAGGUCAUUAUUCGGAUACGAGCCACAUCCCAUGAUUGCUGAGGCAUGGGAAACUUUACGCCGUUCAUUGGUCUAUUUUCGUGGUCAACCGGUUGGGACCAUUGCAGCAUUAGACAGUUCUGAAGAAAAACUCAACUAUGACCAGGUGAAGCAAGUGAUACAUUGAAAACGUUACUUCUAUCUUUCUAGAGCAGUAUUUAGUUUUCGCGAACAAUUUUUUUUUUUUUGACUCGUGAGUAGUAGCAAUUUAAUUCAUUUUCACUUGAGAGCACGUAGGUAUUAGAACAUGAAGAUUGGGUUCUGAUUUGUGGCGUUAUCUCGUCUCUUCUCAGUUAAAUGCAGGGAUUAAGGUGCUGUAAUCUCUAGUGAAUGUGUUGUUUACCUACGUUAACUAAAGGUUGAUUGGUAGUUUAUAUUCUACUUGAUGCAUGACCAGCGUUAGGCUACCAACAAGUAUGUUCAUCAUAAAUGGGCUUUUAGAGUUGUUAGAAUGGCAGAGCGCAUCGCAUGAAAUAGAGAUUCCUAAUAGCCAGUCCAUGGAUAAUAUGGAAAAUCAUUUGCAAACUGUCAUUUGGAUAAGGUGUUGUUAUGCUUUAUGUUAUUUUGAAGAAAAAAUUACUAUUAAUUUUUUUAUCUGUUUUUCUUUUCCUCCAAUUACUCUAUCUGCCUCCAGCUUGCAUUUAGAUAAAAUGGCAUAUGAUACUUUUACAGGCCUAUUCCAUCCUAUUCCAUUUGUACAUGUGGUGAUUGACAUCUUUUUUUCAUGUAGGUGUUUGUCAGAGAUUUUGUUCCUAGUGCAUUGGCCUUUCUGAUGAAUGGAGAACCUGAAAUAGUGAAAAAUUUCAUCUUGAAGACCCUUCGGCUUCAGUCAUGGGAGAAAAAGAUUGAUCGAUUCCAAUUGGGAGAGGGUGUGAUGCCUGCUAGUUUCAAAGUACUCCAUGACCCAGUCAGGAAUACUGAGACAUUGAUGGCAGAUUUUGGCGAGAGUGCAAUAGGAAGAGUGGCUCCCGUUGAUUCUGGGUUUUGGUGGAUCAUAUUACUUCGAGCAUACACAAGGUCAACAGGAGAUUCUUCUUUGGCUGAGAUGCCUGAGUGUCAGAAAGGCAUGCGGCUAAUUCUCAGUUUAUGCCUUUCAGAAGGAUAUGACACAUUCCCAACUCUUCUUUGUGCUGAUGGAUGCUGUAUGAUUGAUCGCAGAAUGGUGAGUUCCCGACAGUCUAUGCUAAUUUUUAGUUUUGUUGCUUGUGAGAUAGGCUUUUCUCUACAUUUGUUUCUUUGCUUUUUAUUUCUCCUUUCUUUAGAACUCCUCUCGCUCAAUGAUCUUAUGGUUUUGAUAUGAUUGGAAGUAACAGGAAUGAGUAAACUACUGUCAGUGAGAAAUGACUUUGGUGGUUGACUGGAGCUUCUCCAAUUCUUACACCUUACAGCUCAAAACUUUCAUUCACAUAUUGCUGAUUUUUUGUUAAAAUUUUCAUCAUAGAGUUGAUUUUAUGGUAUCAAAGAUAUAGCUUCUACAUCUAUUAUUCCACAUCCCCUGCUGAAUGUUAACAUAGAUCCAAUCAGCAUCAUAUUUGUUGCUUGCUGUCCAAUAGAUACAAAGUUUUGUAACACUGUGUUUUGGAUAAGCAAGAUGCCAUUGGAGGUAUUAGACUGUAGUGAACUAAAGAUACAAAGAUAUUACACCCAUAAAAACAAAUAAGAACACAGCUCAAAGGCACAUCAGAAUUUGCUUCCUAUAUGUCAGAUGUCUACUUGAUCCCUAUGCAAUAUUUUUGGCCGUUUGCUUUAACUAAACUUUGUAAGGCUAGAAUUAGUGGUUGUGAAUCGUGCUGGAAGCCUAAACAGAUGGAACUGUUUGUAAGGUGCUUCUUGAACAAAAAUGUCAUUGUUGGAAUAGUGAUAUUAAGUAUUGUUCUGUAGAAUUGAGAAGCUAGUUGGUCUCUGAAUAUUCAAUGGAGGAGUAGGUGUUCAGUUUAGAAACCAGAAAUCCAGAAUUAAGUGUGUUGAGCAUUUGACUCUUACAGAUCUAGAAGGUGGAUGUACUUAAGUUGGAAACAGUACCUGACUACUGGUAUGCAAUCAGCUCAGCUUCUGUUUUGCAGAAGUUCAGAAAAAAAUUACAGUUGGAAAAACCAUGCAGUUAAUGGGUUUUAAACUGUUGUCCUCCUGUCUUGCAUGAUUGAGGGCUAUUAUGGCUGCAAGGCUCUGGAGAUUUUUGUUUUUG
rnacentral:lncRNA from 1 species